CGUGGAACUCUUCGAUAUGAAGGUAUGACAUUGCUUGGCUUCUAGGUUAAGUUAAUGCUUAGAUUCUUACUUGAAUUCUAUUUUGUGUAGGGUUCGGAGAAAUAAUGGGAACGCUUUCAAGAAUUGGUUUAUUCGAAUCUGAACCUCAUCCGCUUCUUAAGGAUGCAAAGAGACCCACAUUCAGGAAAUUUUUGUCCGAACUCCUCAAAAUGAAAACUGAAGAUCUGGACAGACCUCUGAUAGGAGAGAAAAUCAUCCCCGAAAGGAUUGUCACGCUCGGAUACUGCAAAGAGCAAGGAGCUGCUGUGAGGGCAGCUAAGACUAUCCUGUAUGCACAUUGCACCUCUUACCCCUUUUCUUUCCAUUCUUCUUGUGUGCUCGUAUUUUCUAGACAGACUAAUACUGAAAUGUAUCGGUUUGUUCUCCAUGUGGAACAGAUUUCUGGGACUUCACGAGCAGAAAGAGAUCCCCUCCUCUUGCAAAAGCGCAUUUGACGUUGCUUGUCUUCGGAUGGAAGAGAGAUUAGCAUACUCCAGCAUGGAACAGGUAGGUUACUUGUGAGACAAGUGAAACAGCGUUAUGAUAGCCAAGUCAUUUUACACCAAAAUUAUGCAUAACCUGUGUGAUUUGUGGUCAGGAUAUGGUGCUUUUGAAUCAUGAAGUGGAGGUUGAGUUCCCGGAUGGACUUCGAGAGAAGCAUACAGGCACUCUACUGGAAUUCGGGAAAAUGAAGAGUGGUAAAAUGAUCACCGCCAUGGCGUUCACUGUUGGAGUCCCGGCAGCCAUUGGAGCUCUGGUACUUGCUGCACGUUUCUAUGAUCUUCUAUAGUAUGCAGUGAGAUAAAUCCCUAACCAAAUUUACUUCCUUGCAGCUCAUACUUGGAAACAAGAUCAAAACCAGAGGUGUCUUGAGACCUAUCGAACCAGAAGUAUACGUCCCAGGUAACCACUUGCUCUUAUUCAUCAUGAUUUAGCCUUUUCGACAUGAAAUUUUGUUGUCCGCAACAUAACUGGCGUAUUUUUGUGGUGUUGCAGCAAUGGAUAUACUACAAGCAUAUGGAAUCAAGUUAAUGGAGAAGAUCGAGUGAUCCGAACUAUCUCCAUUCGUCUUUCCUGACAAAUAUCGACUGAUCCAACUUGAAACUCGACGCGCUACUGCCUGGUAUCGCUCAGGCGCAAGGGAGCACAGAUAUUUGAAAGGAAGUGUUUGAUGUAAAUUAUGUAACAGGGCUCCAAUGAGAAGUUUGCAGUGCCUUUUUUCUCUAAGUUUAGCGGAAAAUGGCGUUUGCAAAUGGGAGGAGCUUACUGUUCCUACUUGGUGUAAGAAAAAUAACUAUGCGAACAAUGAAUUUGACACACUUUAUCAGAUCGAAAUUCAAAUACUUGAGUUCUCCAGGAAUGCUUUGUGAUCACAUCCAAUUGAGCUGGUUAUCGUGUCGGGUUCAAACGAACAUGAUCAAACGUUAAUGCCGUACAAGUUUGUGCAACAAAAUUGAGAAACAACCGAUUCAUGAGUUCAAUGCAGUGUGCAGGCAUUUUCAUGGUUGUCAAAAACAAAAUAAUAGGGUUAGAACAAAAUCCGACAUCUCCGUCGUUCUACUAAUAAAACUGCAGCAGCAGUAAGGGAUGGGUUGGGUUUCAAUCGGUUCAGUUUUUUUCGGAUUUUGGUUUUUCAAACCCACCCCUGGCAGCAGUAAUGGCAAAUACAAAACAACUAGCAAACCUAAAGAACAAAACAAGGUCACACAGUCAAACAAGGGAAAAUUUUGGAUUAUUCAAGAAUUUUCGUCAUCCUCCAUAUUUACAACUUGGGAGUUUUCCUUUUACCCUAUUCUCUUCUAAAUGAAUAAUAAGGAGAAAAAGGAAUAGAAACCAAACCCAAUCCAGGGUUGGCUUUCAGAAAUCUGACACCUAGUUGCCAGAAGUUGGGGCAAUGAUAUGAUAUUAUCACUUCUCACCAUUGUCCAACUAAAACUGUCACCGGACAACCCUAUUUGGUACGGUCUCUAAAAACUUAGAGUUUCGUCAUCAACGAUACUUUCUGUAGCAUCCUUCUGAUGCACUCCAUGUUCUCAACAUAUCUUGACAAAUUGGCAUUCAAUAUGGUAAUGGGUUGUAAGAAUAAAAACUAUGAAAUUAUGCUGUUUAUGGUCAUCAGCUGCUUCUCGACUGCUUCCCAGUUAUGAACCUUGGUGACCAGGGGGUGCUGAUCAACAAGCAGGUAAACAUGCAUCAUUAUUGGAACAGGAAACUUGAAAAGCGGAUUUAUAGGUUCUAAAAACUGAAGGAAAAAUGCUUCAAAAGAUGCAUACUGAGAAGUUUCAAAUUCAUAACAUCUUCGAAACUAUCUGAAGUUGUUCUUGAGGAUACCUGCAUAUUUCUGACUUAGGCCUGGACUCUCCAUGCAAAGCCCAGUGGUUGCCAAGUGAAUCUCCUGAAACAGCCCUGAAAAAUGUUGUUCGAUCCAUUGAAGAGUGUGGUCCUUAAUUACAUUCUGCCGAGACCUAUUAGCACAGACAAGGAUAGGCAAAAUACCCAUGCGUUUGGGUAAUUGUGGUUACCCGCCCAUUUAAAGUUCACGGUUACGGUUAUGGGUAACCGUUUAGAAGAACAAACGGUUAUGGGUAUAACCGUUUAUCCGUGAAAUUUAAAUGGGCGAUUAUGGGUAUUACCAGCGCUUAUAACAGAUAUCCAUCGGUUAUGGGUAUUACCCGCGGUUAUAAUGGGUAUCCAUUUACCUAUUUAAUUUAAUAUAUAUAAAAUUUAAAAAAAAAAUUAAAAACCCUAAAUUUUCAAUCUCUCCACCAGACUCAGAGAUUAUGCAUUAAGGUUAUCGUUUGAUGCAUUUUUUUGUCAAGGUGCAUUACACCCUCAUUGUUGGUGGGAAACUAGAGGGUUUAUGAGGUAUUUUCCCUUUGGUGGGAAACUGUUUGUUCAUCAUGUUGGUGGGAACUGGAGGGUUUAUGAGGUAUUUUCCUACUUGUUUGGGUAUAUUAUUUCAAUUAUUGGAAUUGUAUGAGGACUUAAAUAAUUAAAAUAGGGAAAUGCAUGCUAAAAUAUACCUAUAACGGUGUUUAAUUGUCAGAAAACUAUAAUUAUGACAAAUUUUUCUUUUGUAAUUUUCAAGUUGUUAAAAAAAACAUGUAGACGGGUGAAAAAUGGGUAAAUGGGUAAAAAAAAGAAUAAACGGGUUCAAAAAUGGGUAAACGGGUAAAUGGUUAUGGUUAAAUGGGUAAACGGUUAUGGUUAAAUAGGUACACGGUUAUGGGUAUGGUUAACCGUUUAUAAACGGUUAUACCCAUAGUCAUUUAUGCAAUUACCCAAUGGGUAAACGAUUAUGCGGGUAUAAACAUAAAUGGUUAUGAGUAAAUAACCGCAGUUACCCGCCCGUCAUAACCGUUGCCCAUCCUUCCUUGCACAGAGAUGCCAAAAGAUCAAGUUACUAAAUGCUCGGAUAACCAUAAUAAUAAAAUGGUCUCAGUUAAUUGUACAUACGUCACACCCGACAGGUCACAUAAAUCUGACAACUUAUGUAUCGUCUCCUGAGCACCUGGGAGUGGAUGGAUCCCGAUCUUGAAAUAUGAUGUUUUAAAGAACUCGUGAACACGAUAAUCGGCUGUCAAAACGAAGUAGAUAACCAAUCAUGCCUAUGCUUUAAAGAAAGGAAAAAAGAUAAGGCAGGAAAAAUUUAAGCAGCAAUCUCAAAACAUUUAUCAAAUGUCAGAAUUAAAAAUUGACCACGAAACCAAAAGAAUCUGGUGAUUUAACGCAAAGAUGGAUACAUUUGUAGUACCUUCAUCACGUGAACAGUUCCAUAUCUGUAACAGAAAAAAAAUUGAUGCAUUAGGAUAUGUUCACGGAAAUGUAAGUAUUCUCCCAAGAAAGCAUAUCAUAGGAAAGGGUAACAGAAAAUGUAAAAAUAUAUCCGUGAAGCCUGCUACCAAAGAGAAUUGGCACCUUAAACUACAGACUAAAGAACUCAGAUUUCUGGAGUAACAACUCAACUCAACUCAACUCAAUCAAACAGAGCGAGGAAUGGAUGUGAAAAGGUUGAACCUCCUAUAACGGAUGCGAAUUUAGACGAGCAGCGGCGGCGGCGGCUGGGAGAUAAUUGUCAAGAUGCAUUCAGAAUAGAAACUGUUAAUCCUGAUCUAAUGAGUGCGGAACCCGAAGGGGCAACUCAUGUGUGGCCUGGGUUAGUGAAUUUAGUCGAGCAGCAGCGGCAGUGGCUGGGAGAUAUUUGUCAAGUUAUAUUCUAUUUCUGUGAAAGCGUAUGCAUUAAAAGCUGCGGGGUGCACCUCCUAGCCUCACAUAUCGUGAAUGAUGAAUGUGAUGAUCUGUUAAAAUGGUUUUCCUUAGAUAUCGUUGAUGAUGAAUAUGAUGAGUAACAACAUCGGCUUUCCUUAUCUUCGGAGCCAGCGGAUUAUCAUUCAAAACACAGGCAGAUUGAUCUCAAUGUUCCUAUUGGUAUUGAGAAGGAGGAGGAGGAGGAGCAAGAGUAACCGUCCAUUUCAGAUGAUCCACAAUUUCUGAUUUAUUAGUAGUUCGGGUACGCAUUCGUUUGUUCAUUUCCAUUUUCCUAAUCUUUAAAAUAAGGCGCCGUCGGAUUACAAUUUCAGUUUACAGUUUCCAUUUAUUUGAAAACUGAAAACUGAGAACUCAUUUGGCAACUACUCCUUGUUCUACCGUCUUGCAUUUGCCCUUCUGUUUUCUUGAUAUGUAGACGUUUUUCUUCUUCAUAACUUCUUGUCCUACUGUCAAACGUAUGCAUUUUUGCACCUAUAGUAAAUCAAUGCAGUAAAUUGUCUAAUUUGAACCAUCUGCAUAUAUAAUCUGGCUAGUUGUUGCUUUUACACUAAUCUGGGUUAUAAAAAGCACUCUCUAUCUAAGAGAACGAAGAUGGCCUCCCCAACUCGAUAUAUUAUGUCCGGAGGAUACCUUUACCUAUUGUGUUACAUAUAAAUUUAUAUCUACACAUUCUACUUUUAAGUUCGCACAAUUUAUAUGUCUUUAUCUUUAGCGGUCCUAAACAGACCACCCUAACUACAACAAAAACUUAGUGGCAGCAAAUUGAUGACAUUAAUGUUACUGUCACUAAAAAUAAAUAAAUGCUUUUAGUCACGACAAGGUUGAGACUAAAAGUAUAAAAUAUUGUAACUGAAAAAUUUAAUCAUGAAAAAGUUAUGUAUCUCAGUAAUAGGGUUGUGACCGCACACCCCGUGAGUAAUUGAUUUAGUCCAAAAAUAAAAAACAAAUAGGUAGACCUAAAAUUUAUUAGUCACGAAAAUUAAACCAAUUCCUACAUUUUAGGUACAAACAUUGCAAUCAUUUGUGUCAGCCAUUAUUAAUGACUAAUAGACAUUUAGUCACAACUACUUUUCGCAACAAAAAAAAUCUUAGUAACAACGGUCUUCCAUAACUUUUUUUUUUUUUUUUUUUUUUUUUUCGAGGUUGAUUUGGACCCUUCUGAUUUAUGAUAAAACUGCUGCACACAUACAGCUGAAAGGGUUCGAAAAGAGGAGAGACAAAAUGCGUAAAAGUCGAAAACAAAAUAAUCUCAAGGACUUGGAGAGAAUUUGAAAACCUCGACGACAGUUCAAUGACUAUGAUAUAGGCUGGCUGUCGGGAACGAAUUCAACGCGCUCGCUGUCCUCUUCCAGUUGUGACUGAGACGCCGUAAGUUUCGCCUUCUUGAAUGUGCUUGAACUUUUAGCCAAUUCAUCCCAAUUCAUGUCCUUCAUGCCGGAAGUGCAUGAUUUUAUGACGCUUCUCCCACCAGCCCUUCCGCCUCUUGGCGUGCUCAUAUCUGCAUUGCUUUCCCCAUCUGAGUAGCCAGAUGACGAAUAAUCUGAUGGAGUUUGGGUGCUGGCUUUUGAAAGUUCUUUAUCUUCAUCUUCAGAACUCCCACUACUCUAUUAUCAACAGCUAGCGACUCUAACGAAAGUCUAAUAAUCACAACAAAUCAAGACUAAUAUCUUCCAUUCUAUCACUUGCACUUUCUUUUCUUGCCUAAUAUCUAAAAAUAUCAUCAACAAAAAAUAGAAAUACCAUCAAGCUAAUCAAAUCAAUUAAAAGUUGUUUCUACAAGAUAAAAUCGUCUACAAAUCAAAUGCUGAAAUCAGUAGAAAUCCACACCUAGGAACUUCCAAUUCAGUCCUCAAUGCCAGCAAUGGAGAAAAGCAUGUACCUCAAGAAUAGUACCAUAACUAACAUAAGUUAAACCAGACAAGUUGAAUCAGAGAAACUAUAUAACUGACCCAGUCAAAGGCUCUUCUUAUUGCAUCAAUGAAUUAUUAUUUUUAGAUUCAACAAUUCAACAUUAUCUCCAAAUCCACACCUUUCCAUCGCCCAACUUAUCGAGCUCCAACACAAGUUAUUUACUUUGUAAAGUAUUUCAUAUUUCUUUCCCUUUUUUCACUCACCUUGAUCCACCUUCAUACUCUAUGAGUUUGACCAUAGUGCUGAAGCGACGCCUAUACGACUCACAACUCUUCUAUUUGAACUAACUUAAGAAAAAUGUUACCAUGAGAAUCAAAAGAGAACAUCUGUGCUAGUAGUUUAGUUGUAAUUUUGAACUGACAUCUAAUAGGAGUCAUUGCCUCCUCAUCAGUAUGUUGAUAAAUGAGAACAAAAAAAUGAGUAAGUUUAUACAUUGAAGGGCUAACAUUCUAGAAAUCAGAAAAACAUGGAAACCACAACAGUCGAGCAUCCAAAAGAAAGGCAGUUUAAAUAUGAUGUGUUCCUUUUUAGUUAAAUCCAGGCCUUUUUCAGAUGAAAUGCAUUCUCUUUGUGGUUGCACAAGGCUGGAGAGUUUCCCUGAAAUAGAGGACAAGAUGGAAUCCCUACUUUUAUUGGACAUACAAAAAACGUGGCAUAAGAGAAUUACCUUCAUCAAUUGCUUAUCUUACUAGGCUUAAAAACUUGGAUGCAGAUGAUUGUGAGAACCUUACAAAUAUAUAUAUAUAUAUAUAUAUAUAUAUAUAUAUAUAUAUAUAUAUAUAUAUAUAUAUAUAUAUAUAUAUAUGUGUGGGCCCCCCAAAACUGAGCACAAUUGAUUUGGAUAUUUUAGAUGACAAGUGUAUCACAUUCUUCUUGAAAGAGUUUAAACUAGGGUUUUAGAGACUGACUGCAUAAGCUCAACUCAAUUAACUAUGAGUGAGUUUUGUACUUUAUUAUAUAGGCUUUACAAGAUUACAAUGAAUCUGUUAUAGAGAUUACAAUGGAAUUCAAAUUACAGAAAUACAUAUCAGAAAGCCAAGAUACACGGUGAUGAUAGAGUCAUGUGGAAGGAGAACUGUGAUUCUUCUCAAUCUGUUGAAGACGUGCGUUAUCCAAACUCUGUUGUGGAGUAGUUGAACGGGAACCAUAUAAUGCGGACUGUGUUUGCUGAGUUGACAAGGAUUGCUGACGUGGAGAGCAUGUAGAAUCGUUAGGUUUAUCACUUUCUUCCCAAUCUACACUAUCUUGAUCUUGACGGUUGCAGUUUAUUAGAAAGCUGUGAUUUCCUUGUGCCUCUAGAUUGUUGGUCCACAUUAACAAGAUGAUCUGUCAAGAAACAAUUUUGUUAGUCUUCCGGAUUGCAUUAGUAAAUUUGUCAACUUGAAGCAACUUAGAUUGAUUAGUUGCAAGAGGCUUCGGGAAAUUCCACAAGUGCUUCCACCAAAACUAAUUCACUUAGAUCUACAUGAUUGCACAUCAUUGGAGAAAAUUCAAAACUGCCCCCGAUGCUCGAGUGUCUGGACUUGACUAAUUACUUUAGACUAAGUGGCAAUGAGGUGAAAAAGAUGGAAAACAAUUUGUUGAAUCAGGUUCCUAACUCUCUUCUUAAUUUCUCUUGAAAUUAAUUUGUUGAUACUUGAGGCAUCAGAUCACAGACUGUUAGUAAUUAGUUAUCUAAACAUUAUUUAAUUUUGUAGGAAUCUCUUUGGCGCUCUGGAAAUUAUUCUUCCAGGCUUCCGAAGUGAUUCAGCUAUACCUCUAAACAUCCGACAACAUUUGAACUUCCAUCAGAAAAUGAAAGUGAAGAAGCUGUUAGAGGCAGUGAAUUUUGUUUUGAAAUUCCUCUAAACUUACAAGAUGAGACCUCCGGAUUGGCUCUAUGUAUUGCUGUUGAAGCACCGACUCCUUAUGAUCCAUAUGUUCUCAUCAACGGGGAAAAAGACUUUUAUCCUAAUUUGAAGUACAACAUUGAGGCAACUCAUGUGUGGUUCAAGCAGUGGCGGAUCCAGGAAAUAAUGUUUGGGGGGUCAACAAGGAUAGCGCGCGCAGCGCGAAAUUUUUUUUUAACAAAAACGGCAUGCAUAUCGUCAUUUCAUCGGGUCUUGGUAGGAUAGCGUGAUCAGCCUCUCGCCGAUAGUUACCAUACUAAAAGGUGCCUUCACUUUCCCUGACAACCAAAAAUAAACAUAAAAUUGGGUUGGAUGGUUCAUAAUAAACAUAAAAUUCUGAUGUCAAUAUGGUGGUUCAUAAUAAUAUUUUUUAGAGAUCAUAUUAAUUUAUGUUAAAUAUAAAGAGAAAUAAAGUUGUUAAAUAUGUGGAUGUGGAAAGGGCACACACAUCAUUACCAUUAAUUUAUGUCAAAUAUGUGGAUGUGGACACAUGGGAACUUUGCAAUCUGCACCAAGACUUAAUGGUGACAUCUUCAACUUGACACACGAACCGAACUGACAGUCUAUGGCUUUUUACACAAAGCAAGCAAUUUGAUGCUAGCUGUACAAAUUUGAUUGGAGAGAAACUAAGAAAAAAUAAAUAAAUAAGAAGAGUGUGUGGUCACGUGGUGUGAAAGGAAGAGAGAGAACGUCUUUGUCUUCGUCUUCCUCUUCCGCCAAAACGAACGAAAACUAGAAGAAACCCAGAAAAAUGCAGCAGCUCCAAGAGGUCGCACCAGCAGCUUUAAGGGGUCGCACCAACAGCUCCAAGGGACCUCUAAGGUUAUUUCCAUGGCUUCCAAGGGGUCGUGCGACCCCAUUGACCCCACUGUGGCUCCGCCUCUGGGUUCAAGUUAGUGGAUUUAGACGAGCAGCAGAGAGAUACAUGUCAAGUUAUAUUUCAAUUCCUGGAAGGCUCAUACAUUAAAAGUUGCAGGGUGCAGUCUAUUGCUCAACCAAGACGAAUUGCUUCCCUUGUCUUUAGGAUCAACGAGUAGUCUUGAGAAGAGGCCUCGUCCAAGUGGACCCCCAUAUUAUGAGUAUGAUCAGCUGCAGCAAUGACCUUCCUUGUCUUCGGAGCUAGCGGAUGAUUAUACAUAGCGGAGUCAUAUUUAUCUCAAUGUUCAUGUUGAGAUUGAGGAUCAGGGCCGGCCCUGAGGGUAGCCCGAGUAGAUGCUCGUCUAGGGUCCCCAAAUUUUAUCUUUUUAUUUUUUAUAUAUAGGGAAAUGUUAUUGACAUUUCAAAAAUUUCAUCCUACAUUCUUUACAAGUGUAUUUUUCUUUUCAAAUAUAGAAAGUUUGAAAUGUAGAAUGAGAAUUUUGGAGUGUCAAUCAUAAUUUUCUAUAUAUAUUUAUAUAUUUAAUUUUGGAAUUUGAGUAAAACAUCUAAAUAUGAAAUUAUAAAUAUUUUUUUGGAACUUGCCGUGCAGCGUUUUGGGUGGGGGGCCCCAAAUUUAAAAAAAAUGUAUGUAUAUAUAUAAAUAUAUUUUUAGAGUUUGAAUUUAAUAAAAUAUUUAAAUAUAAAAUCACAUAAUUGUCUUCAAACUUGAGGUACAAAGUGUCUUGGGUGGGGUGAAACUUCAGCAACAAUUCAACUUUUUUUUUUUGUUGAGAAUUUAAGGCACAGCAUACUGGUAGCAAGUCUGCGCCUGUGAAUCGGUUCUUUCCCACUCCACUUAUAGAGGUUAAGUACCCGAUCAAUGCUUCUCUUCUCUUCCGCUUCUUUUUCUAUAAUUUAAUUUGUGACUUGUGAGUGUUGUGCUUGUACAUAUAAUUAGGAUUUUCAAUUCUAGGGUUUAUGAUUUAUUUAUUUUAAUGCAUAUUGUUUAUGCUAAAUUAGAGUAUUCACUUGUCAAGUGUCUAUAUUGUAGUUAUAAAGUGGAUGUACUUAAUAAAGUGAUUAAAUCCCUUCAAGAAGAUAAAUGGAUUAUGGGUGCACUUAACAAGGUUUGUUACUUUUGCUUCCUAACUAGUUUUGGUUCAAGAUAAUUCAAAGUUUCGAUGUUGAAUUUUGUUAACCAUACCAGUUACAGUUGCCUUUGCAAAAAGAAGUUUCUCAUAAUUAAAGUUGAUCAAAUCGUAUCUUCGAUCAACUAUGUCAUAAGAAAGAUUGAAUGGGUUAGCUAUUUUGUCAAUUGAAAAAGAAUUGGAUGAAAAGUUAGAUUAUGUAAACUUAAUUAAUACAUUUGGGUCUAAAAAAGCGAGACGUGUAAUGUUGAAGUAAUGUUUGCAUAUUUUUCUUCUUUAGAUAUGAAUUAUAAUGAUUUUUGAUGUCGAAAUGAAUAUUUUCAUGUAUUUAGCGAAAUUUUUUCUUAUACAUAUAAAUGUACAAUGAGUUGGGUGUCAAAGAACUUUAGGACCCUCACUCGAAGGCUGGCCUAGGGCCCCCAAUUUCUCAGGGCCGGUUCUGUUGAGGAUGAGCAGGAGGGUGGUUCGGUAUGGGAUCCCAUACCGAAACCCUUGUCCCGAUUCCCAAACCGAAAUUUUCGGGAAUCCCAAUUUCAAUACCGAUCCCAAACCAAAUUUUCGGGAAUCCCAAAAUAGUUUCGGGAUUUCGGGACAAAUCGGGAAUCCCGAAAUAGUUUUGAGCUUUUGGGCUUUUGGACAAAAAAAAUGUACCCCAUAUUUUAAUUUUCUCCAGUUACCUUCCUCGGCACCCAAAAACCCAGUUUUAAACCGGAAGUAAGAAACAUAUGGGAGAUCAGUGUAAAUUGCACGAAGCUGCACUCCCCAAGACCCACCAUUGAUAAAUAGCUAGAGGAAAAAUCUUAACUACAACCCAAUUAGACACGAAGCUGCAAUUUGGAUUGUAAAUUGCACGAAUACCUUCAGCCCACCCAUAGUUAUCAUUGAACAAAGCAUUUACGCUAGAGCGAUUAGCUAAAUUGCAAAACUGAACUAAGGGAAAUAACAUCAAUUAUCUAUUCUCCAAUUAAUAGAUCAUUGGAUGAUCCACAAUUAAAACAAUGUAGAUUCAGAGGAAGAAAACAAAAAAGAUUAAAUAUUAUCUAAGAGGAACAAACACACAUUAUCUAAGAGGAACAAUAUAUUAUUAAUGAUUUACUAUUAUCUUAACGACACUUAUUGUGUGUACUUAUACCUUAUAUGCUAUUUUACUUUUCCCCGAACAGAGCAGUUGUUCCUAACAGUAAUAACUAUAAAGACGAAUGGUAACAAUAACAACAAUAGUAUUUUCAAGAAAACAGAAGAUGUGCAUCCAACAAUCCCGAAUGGUAAAAGCAAACCAUGACUCUUAAGUGUGCCUCUGUAACAAUAGAAAAUGAGAUUUCGGAGGAAACAUGGUAGCCUAAAUAGUACCUCCUUACGCCUAGCCUCAAUCAGAGCUGCUUCAUUUUCUUUCUCAGGUUACGAAAACAGAGCUGCUAAACAAUACAUACCAAAAAUUAAAUCUUAAAACCAUUUGAAAACUUCAAAGCAGAAUCUACCAACAGAAAUUAGAUUUCAAAACACUAAAUUAAUUACCUAAUUUGGGGUGAGAGUGAGACUCGGACUCGGUGUUGUGGUGAGAGAGAUCGCGAGAGAAAGUCGCCCGAGAGAGAGAUUGUGAGAGAGAGCGGUGGCUGUGUGGUGUGGUGGUGGGCCGGUGGUUGGCCGGAAUUCGACAUUGACAAAUGAGGGCUCGGUGAGGGAGGAGGCGCAUGGGCUUGGAGUUUGAUGGAUGGAAUCAGGGAAAUGGAACGGAACUGUGAAAGAAAGAAAUGGGAUCUGACCUAAAACAAAUCAACGGCACGGAUUAAAUCUAAAACAAUGAAUGGUUCAAAUAAUUUUCUUAUAAUUAAAAAAUAAUAUAUAUAUAUAUUUUUUUUUUCGGUUCGGUAUGGGAAUACCAAAAAAAUGAAAUGCAAAACCGAAUCCCAUACCGAAAUUUUCGGUUUGGUUUGGAAUUUUUGGGAUUUUUUUCCAGCCCUAAGCAGGAGCAACCGUCCACUUCAAAAUCUCAGAGUGUUGGUGCAAUCCCAUUGUGUGAAUAGUGGAUUAAUUUUAUAAAUGUGGGGGAUAAGGCUGGAGCUCCAUCAUGUUUAUCUGUUUUUGAACUUAGAGUGACUGUGAUUUUGUGGUUUCUCUUUCAAUCUCAUGGGGAGACAUGUGCUUGCAUAGUUAUUACUUAAAAUGAACUUUAACGAAAAGUUUCCAGUACUGUUUAUUUUAACGAAAAAUCAUAUUUUAACAUUAAAAAGUUCAUCCUGGUACUAUUCAUUUUACUCUUUAUUUUGCUUUUAUCAUUAAAACUCAAAAUUUUCAAACCAUUUUCAUUAAUUUUCUUUUAUUUAAAAGGUUAAAAUAUAUAAUAAUACCUGAUAAAAUUAGAAAAUUGUUGAUGUGACACUUGAAGUAUAUGUAAGUUUCCCACAUAACAAACUUAUACCCAUGACUUCUUUUCUUGUUCUGUUUUUCCAUUUCUUAUUUUGUAGAAUGCCCAAGCUGGUUCCCAAAAACCUAUUUCAGUAUUUUAAUUGUAUUGUAGAAAACUGACGUAGGUUCGAACCCUAUUUGGGGAGUUUGGUUUCAUUCCAAGUUCUGAUUUAAGAGAACUCGGGACGGAGGGGAUCACUUUGAUUGUUAAGAGUAGAAAACCCAUUCUUUUAUGAUACUUAAAUUACCAAUUACUGCUCUAAAUUGUCUUAACAAAAACAAAAUUGAUUGAAGAAGAUAUAAUUAGGUACAAGAUUGAAAUUACACAUCAACUGCUUGAAUUAUCAAGCCCCAAAUCCUGCUGUAUAUUUGACACCAGUAGGGGGUAACCACAGGUUGCCUUCAAUAAAUUGGGCCACAGAAUAGUUCUUUACCUGAGUAGACUCAUUAAAGACUCGGUAGCCAGGCCACUUGACCCGGCUUCCGAGGCCCGCUCCAGGCCCAUAAUUCAUGUACUCACCAUAAGACAACGUGCUCAAAGCAAAAUCCGCGUUCCAUUCAAGCCACCCCUCAGGCCUUAUGGCAUUGCUCAAGAAAGAAUGCAUUAUUACAGUUCUUGAAUAAAGCUUCCAAGGCCUACCAAGGUAAGUAAAAGUGGAGUUGACCAAGGGUAACAAGUCUGCAUCUGCAGUUAUGUUGCAGAACUGGAUUGAGAAUCCGGUCGGCUCAUUCGGGUCUUUCCGGCCUUGGGAUGUGACGCUGUUCUUCUGAUUCGGUAGGCCUUUUUUGGCUAAGAUCCGGCAGUUUUGGAACACAACAGUUGCAUCACCAAAAAUGAAGUCAACUGUACCACUUAUUUUGCAAUAUUUAUAUAUUUCUUCUUUCAUAAUAUUUUGCAUGUUAUUAAUGAAUAUGUUAGCAAUAUUAUCGAUCCCAUUAAUAUUAUCACCCCACUUGCACGUUGGCUUAAUAAAUAUUAUCUCAUAAGUUUCUUUCUGAUGUAGUUUACUAAUUAAGUUUAACGACCAAUGUGAUCAAUGCCUUUGUAUCAUCGUUUUCAGUUCAGUUCCAUACAUAUAAUUGUCAGUCAUAAACUUGACUUGUGUUAAAUCCUACGUCUUAAAUUCUUUUUUUUUUUUUAGCUAACAGGAAAAUAAGAGGCCUAGAAUAAGAUCUUGGUCGUUGUUUAUCUCAUUUCUUAUGAAAAGUAGAGUUGACAUAUAAGGAUUCUGCUUUUCUAUUAUGUGUCAUUGAGUGAUACAAGUUGUGGACGACCUGAAUUAAACCAACCUCUUAAAUUAAACCAAACCCGAUAUAUAGGUUAACUACUUAAAUUUUAACUAUUAAGAAUUGUAUGUAUUAGUAUAUAUGUGAAAUCUCAUCAUCGGAAUUUCACCAUUUAUUACGUAUUUAGUAAUUUAAAUUCGUAUUUUGCGAUUACAUUAUCUUUAUUAGUUAAUUUUAAUUCCACUAAUUAUAAGUUUAGUAAUUGAUUAGUUAUCGAGUUGGAAGUUUCAUAAUCAAUCUUUAUUUUUCGUGGACAUUUCGAAGUUACAACUAGUGUUUUUAAAUAGAUCUUGAACCCACAAACGUAUAAGCGAAAACCGUUUGCGAGUCUGAAUUAUAACGGUAUAGUUACGAACGUUUGAAGUGAUGAAAAUAUAGAUUGUGGGAAUUAUUCUAAUUUCCACUUAUGAGUAAAAGGCCCAAACUUUUUUUUUUGGAUUAAUGAACCGGCUACUAUAAGUGGAAUUGGGCAUUUUAGGUGGUGGAAAAAGAUUAGUCAGCAGCCUUAAAAGGGGACACAUCAGAUUUUUUUAAAGGAGGAGAAAGGACCCUAGGAAGGAAGGACCUAAGAGGAAAAAGAGGAUUUUCCCCCUCCAUUUCCGUCGACCCAUUUUCACGCACCCACCGGAGUGGUUUCCGACCAUUUCCACCAUUUUUUUCAAGAGAAAUUCAACCAUCCAUCACUUGCAACCUCUUCCACCAUCUCCCAUCUUUCAUCUCCACCCAAAUUUGAGGGUUUUUAGGUCCAAAAUAGUGUAAAACAGUGCGGGUGACCCAAGGAGUUUUGACGGCGAUUCCGCCAUUCUAGCUAGUCUCACCACCAAACACCACCCUUAAUCAACUCUCCUUGGACCCAGAACAAGACCCAAUCAGUUGUAGGAGUGUUAGAACACCAAGGAAGCCGAAUUGAAGAACACCCACCUUAGGGUUUCGUUGGGUGUGAGCCAAUUGGAAGGCCUUCCUGGCCAAAUUGGACUCGACCACAGGUAUAAAGUUUACUCUACUUGUUAAAAUCUUCAUUCUUGUAAAAUUUGAGAAUUUUUGGAAAAAGUCGAAUUUUCCGAUAUGUGACAUUCGAUUUAUGAAAAUGUUGUUGAUUGUAUAUUUUAUCGAUAAGGUGUGCCACUUGAUUAUUCUAAUAAUUGACAAUCUUAUCAUCGAAUUGAGACAAGAUUUUAAUAUGCUAUUGUAGAUAUUGUUUAAGGACCUUAGGGACUUAUAAGUGAGAAUCUAGUGAUUGGAUUUUAUGAAGCAAAUGACGUAAGAUCAUGCACUCUAUAUUAGAAUGACGGUUCGAUUCCUCAUUAAAUGUUGUUGUGGGAAACAUAUGAGAAUUUUUAAGUAUGUGAAUUAUCGAAGGAAAUCUAAAUGUGGACUUGUGCUUUGUUAGGCGGUGAUAGAACGUGAUGCCUUAACUAUCGUGCUAGGGUACAUUAGCACGGACUCCAGAUGAGUGACUUUAAUAUAUGUGAUAUUGGUAAUUACCAGUUGUCAUAAUUACGAUCAUGUGUCGAUAUGAAUUGGUUUUAUGAAUAUGUUCUAUUGAAUUGUUAUUCCAAUACUUCGACAUCAAUGUUGAGAUUAAUGUGAGGACUAGUAAUGACUGUUAACCAUUAUGUUGGGGAUUUGUUGCUUUGAGAUUGUUUCAUCUUUCGCUUUGAUGAUUGGUUAUAAAUUUAGUAAUUGUGCCUAAUCUCCCUUUGUUGAGUUUUUGUAAAUUAAGUAGUAUGUGCUUGUCUCAUUUCUUUUACCGCCGUACAUUCUGAUUGUUGGUCUUCUGCGAUUCCGUUGAGUGAUGGUCCGGAAUCAUAUCCACUCGGAUUUCGUAGAGAGAUGGUCCGGAAUCCCUUCUAUUCCGCGAUUCCGUUAAGUGAUGUUCCGGAAUCGUAUCUAAAUUGGGUUUCAUUUAGUUGUUGUUACAUAUUGUAUUUAGCGAUUCCGUUGAGUGAGGGUCCGGAAUCGUAUCCACUUGGAUUCCGUUGAGAGAUGGUCCGGAAUCCCUCCUAUUUCACGAUUUCGUUGAAUGGUGGUCCGGGAUCGUACUCACCUUGGGAUUUAUUGAAUUUGAAUUGUGAUGACUUCAAAGGUGUAGGCUUCGGCCAAACUGUAUCGCUCUAAUUCUACUUUUCAUUGUGUUGCAUGAGAAGAUGGUUGUGAGAUGUUAUGAUUGGUUUCAGACGAACCGUUGGAUGUCUGGGUGACUCCUUCGGGGUUUACAAAAGUUGGUAUUGAUUUCUUAUGAAUGAUUUAUAUUCAAGAUGUGUAAAUUGUGUUUGAUGGUUGGCAUUAGCAUUAUUAUCACAUACUUGAUAUUAUUGUCACUCUCUUAAGCUUCGCAACUUAUCCAGGUUGUUGUUUGCCUGGUGUACCAUUCCAAUGGUGUAGGCACCGAUCGUACAGGUGAUAGGUUUGAUUAGAUUCCAAGAAGUUUGUAGGUGGGGGUAGCAGUGCAGUGAUCAGAGACUUGGAGCGUUAGGUUACCCUUGUUUCACUUUUGUACUUUAUCUUUUGGGACUUUCUUUUGAGCACCUCAUACUUGUUCUUAGUAAAGCAAAGAUUAUGCUUCUUUUUGGGAUGUACAUAUUUGUAAAUAUUUAGUGGAGAACUUAGCCACCUUCACAUUAUUUUGGGUUAUCAGUUAAAGUAUUUCAUUCCGUAACUUAUGCUGUAUUCAACGAACAUUAUUUUCCUUGUCACGUGUCGAUUUUCGACGUAUGUUGAGAUCGGGAUGUGACAAUAUAUGCACAUACUAGUUUUAUCAUGUCUCUAUAAUUGAAUUUGGGACCAAAAAGAUGGUGAAGGGCUAUUCAUACGGUCUGGCAAAGAGAUUUCAUGCACAAUGUAGGCAACCAUGUUCCUUACAACUUUCAUGUGCAAUAAACUGUUGGAUUCAUCUUUUCAACAUAAUCUAUAGCUCCUUCUUUUUCUUAAAAUAGGCUAAUAAAUUUAUGGAAGAGGAACAAUGGUGGUAGGGUGGGGACCACAGCACAGCUGAGUUGCUAAAUUAAUCGACAUUGGGAUCAUUUGAAUGUUUUUAGAGUAAAUCUUUGCUUUCUCUUUUGUUUGACCGUCCUUGGGGUGGAAUUGUAAUGCCUUUCAAGUAGGGGUGGGCAAACGGGUACAGGAACCGCGGGUCGGGGCGAGUAAUGGCAGUUUGGGACGGGUACGGACCGGUUCUUAAUUUCGUAAAAACAGAUCGGGCCGGGUAAUUGAAGUAUUCGAUUCGGGCCGGUUCCAAAAGUGUAGGAACCGUGGGUACCCGGACCGACCCGUGUGUGUUACAAUGGAUGGACGAGAUUUAAGAUACAUCUCUCCAUCCAAUCUCAACUGUCAAUUUCAACCUAGCUAAUUCCACGUCUCGAGUUCAAGAAGCACCCUCCUUUCAGACUUCAGUCUCUCAGAUUCUCAGACUCUCCCUCGACUCCCUCUCCCUAUCCCUUCCUUCCCUCGACUUCAAUUCUCAUACUCUCUCAGUCUCACUCACAAACUUACUCCCACAGUGCUCACCGCCGUCGGGACCAACACAACAGCACCAUCAACUCCGCCGUCGCGACCACUAUUACUCACCCUAUCACCACCGUCGAGCUCCAACUCUCAGACUCUCACAGCGCUGUCGCAACCAACACAACGGCACCACCUCUGCCGUCGCGACCACCAUCAUCACCCCAUCACCACCGCCGUCACGACCACCUGCUACUACUAAAUUUUAGGUAAUUUUGAAUUAGGUUUUAUUAUUAAUGUGAAUUUCUGGUGUAGGGAUUUUAGGGAUUUUAGGGAUUUGCCGAAGCAAGAAGAGGUUGCUGUGGAACAGGAAUCGUAGAGAGAGACAACAUCACUGCUGUGCAAUCCAAACUCAGUCGGAACUUGUUCCAACGCGACUCAAUACGUGUUUUGGGAUAACGUCCAUCAAUCUCAAGCCACUAACUAACCAUUGGAUAAGAGGAUUAUACGGAUCUUUCUGUAUCUCAAAAAAUGUUUAAAGACUGCUACUACUUGCUUUUAAAUACUGCUAUGUUCCGAUUGAUUUAGCUAAACAAUUUUAACGGAAGAGAUUUUAUACAAAACCAAUUAGAUUUAGCUAAACAUUUAGCAAAUCUUUUGCAGUGUUUUGCAAAUUUACCAAAAGACAGCACCAAAAUGCUUUGGUUAGGCGAAGCUACUUAUGGGUAUUUAGUUUGGUUUUGGCAGUGUUCAUCAUACGGUUUUUUAUUUACCCUUCUUUUGUUCUUUUAUGUAUGAAGAUGAUCUGUUUAUAAUUAUAACACAAGGAUCGUACUUAAGAAGUUAAAUUAUGUUUUCCUUUUUGUCUUAACUGAUUUUGUUUUCCCUUUUUUUCCUUGUAGGUACUCCAUGGACUGAAGAGGAACAUACCAACUACAUAGCUUGGUAAAGGUGAGUGGCUGACGAUAUAGGUGCCAGCAUUGGUCUUCUUUAAAUUAAAAAUAAGUGAUUUAGUUUUGACAUACAUUCACCAUGGGGAAAAACACAAGAAAUGUUAUCUCUUUUUUCCUUUUUUCUUCCAUGAAAUAGAUUGGUAUCUGGCUGUCGUGUCUGUAGACUCUGUAUUGCUGUUUUCAGAUUGCAUUUCUAAGUCUUUAGCUAUUUGCAUUUUCUAAGGCUCUUGGUGGUUUUAACAAAGUUGCCAAGUUAUAUUUGUUAUUCAUGGUUUUGGUUAAUUCCAUAUGUCACUGAUCCUCUCGUAUAUUGUCUUUAAAAUUUGUAUAUGUCAUAGUGUGGGAAGUUGAGAGUUCCAGUCACCUUGUUAGAUCCCUGUUAGUACAAAAAAUAAACCUUUGAAGUAAACAACUAUCUAUUCAACUUCACUAAUCUAAAUAGUUCUCUCAUUGUAACACUUUAUUGGAUGUGCUCCUAGAUUCCGUCAUCAGCAUUCAUCUGUUUUUGGAUUUACAGGAUGCACUAGCUUACCCAAGUCAUUGCACUUCAUGUUAUGUUAAUGAUGUGUUAUUCACAAAUUUGAAUCCUUAUGAAAACCUGUCAGAUAAUUUGACAUUUUUUCACUGUUUCUAAUAAAAUCUGUUUAUGUUAUGCAGGACACUCUGUGUGCAGUUUUUUCAAACUGCAAUUUAUGCAAUAUGUGCAAUCUGUGCAGCAAACAUUUUUAAACAGCAAAAAAAAAAAAGAUCCGUGUACUCGGACCGAACCAACCCGUUUCAACCGGGCCGGGUAAGGUCCGGUUCCUAUUUUCAGAAUUGUAAUGCCCGGCCCGGCCCAUCCUAUCUCCUUUAAUUUAGGGUCCGGUCCAAUCCCUUCAAAAAUUGGCCCGCCCGGCCCGUGCCCAGCCCUACUCUCAAGUUAAGAAGUCAUCAAGCUGAAAUUUCUGUGCAUUCUACUAUUCCUUUCCUCUCUCAUCUCUUUUUUUUUUAGGUAACAAGAAAAUAUAAGGUCUUGGUUGUUGUUUAUCUUAUUUCUUAUGAGAAAUAGAGGGGAUCUAUAAAGAAUUCUAUUUUCCUACUACGUAUUAUUGAAUAAUACGAGUUGUGGAAGGCCUAAAUUAAACCAAUCUCUUGCAUAAUAUUAACGGGUUAUAAUAAAAAAUGAAAAAGAGUCUGUGUCAUUAGGAAAACUUGAUAUAAGUCCAAUUUUUUUAGCCAAUAGUAGAAAUAGUCCAAUUUAUUAAAAUAAGUCCAAUUCCUUAAAUUUAACUAUUUUAUUAUCAAUAAUUAUCUUUUGAGAAAAUUAGAAUUAGAAGCCUCAUUUUAGACUUUUGUAGACUAAACAUUUAUGCUUUUUGAGUUUUUGAUUAAGCUUUUGAAACAUUUGAUUAAGAUACUUAGACUUGAACUACUUCAUAUUAAUUGAAAUUAAUUUACAUUUAAAUAUCUGCUAUAUAUUUUAAAUAAUUUCAACUAUAUUUAAGUCUAAAAAUUUAAACUUUUCAAAUCUAAAUGUACAUCCACGCCAAAUGGAAACAUACCAAUAUUAAAUGAAAAUGUACCAACAUCAAACAAAAACAUAACAACCCUGAAUUAAAAUGUACCCAAUUAUAAACUAUCUUAAAAUGAAUAUUCAUCUUUUUGGAAUGUUUAAAAAUAUGUAUGAUUUAUACACAAUGCUCUAGAUAGUCUUGUUUUUUUGUAGAUAAGUUCCUGGAACAACUUUAAGUUGAUUAGAGAUAAAUCCUUAUUAUUGUAGAUAAUGCUAAAUAAUAAUGAUAAAUCAUAUAAUUUUGAAUUAACAAAAAGGUUAUUAUAUGUUGAUUAAUGACUCUUUCUAGAAAAAUAAAAUUAAUUAAAGUAAUUUAAACUUUUACAUUGUUAACGACUAUUUCUAUAAAAAAAAUUAAUUAAAGUAAUUCCUCAUUAUUAGGACAAAAAGUAAUAAAAUUUAUGUUUUGAGAACAAACAUACCAAAAAUUCAAAUGUACCAAAAACUAAAUGUACCAAAAAUUUAAAUGUACCAAGAAGCCAAAUGGAUCAAAAAUUCAAAUGUACCAAGUAACUAAAUGUACCAUUAUAAUCAAACGUACCGAUAUAAUCAAACGUACCUAACAACGAGUUUUGUUACAUUCUAUUUAAUUUACUAAAAUAAAUAUUUUAAUAAAAAAUAAUAAAAAAAUCUUAAAUCAUCAUAAUAAGAGAUGCAUAAAAAUAGGAGGAAAAAAGGGAAUGCUAACGUGAAUAGACUUCUAAUGAAAUAAAAUUAAAGUAUCAAAAUUGUAAGGAAAAUGUUUAAUCAAAUUUGCAAAAGGAAUAGAUGUUUAGUCUAUGACAUUUAAAAACGAGGUGUCUAAUUCAAAACGUCCCUUAUCUUUUCAAUGAUAAGAUUUAUUAUAAAAAUCAAAUUUAUUCCUAAUUAUCUCUUUGAUUAUUUAUUUUAUUUAUUUAUUGCUCUUUCUUGUUCUUCCUCCUGCUUUAAACUCCAUUUAUAGAUUUUAUUUUUAAUUUUUAUAAUCAACCUAUAUCAUAGGUUAAUUAUAUUUAUCUACCUAUAUGACAUAUUCUUUUUUAUAAUCAACUAAGAUUAAUGUGUCUUGCUUGUAGGUAUAUUAUGUUUUUUCUACCUUUUAGUUAGGUUUCAUAUCUUGCUUUAUAUGUAUGAUAUACAUUCAUAUAUUUGUUACUAGAGUUAGGGUAUAAUGUUUUGCAGAUGAUUUAUGUCAGUGUAUUAGUUUUUUUGUUAUAAGAUAUUAAUUAUAUUUUUUGGAGUUGGAAAAUGCAUAAUAUUAGAAUAUUUUAAUUGAUUUUUAAUAUUUUUAGAAAAUAUAAAAUGAGCAUAAAAAAUUAAAUAUAUGUAAUUAAGUAACUAAACUCACUCCUAAAAAUCAUCUAUAUUUUUUAAUCUGGAUCUAAAAGCAAAACAAUACGCACUAUGGAAGCCAAACCCGAUAUAUAGGUUAACUAUAGGGCUAGUCAUACGGCCCGGCAAAGAGAUUACAUCGGAGAUAACGAAGGAUCGUACAACAUUUGGCCUUUGGAAGUGUCGGAAUUAUUAAUUCAUUCUUGGUGAAGAAAGGCCACAGGUGAUUACAAUAUCAAUGAAUAAUAGAAUACCGACAAACCAUAGUGAGUAGAUUGCUGAUCAAACAUAAAAAAUAUAAAAUAAAAUAAAAAAGUUCUUUUUUUUGUUUUUGUCAAAAAAAAAAGAUAAAAAAAAGGUUCAACGUAUAUAACAAAACAAAUGGUAUAAGACACAUAGUUCAUUAAAUUUAAAGACCGCCACUAGUUAGUGGAGAGAAACUUAUCUACACUGAAGAUACUUCUCAUGGUAUAUCUAUUUUAUUAGUAACGAUUUUAUAUAUUUCAGUCGGCCGUGAUUAUUUUAAAAUACCAUUAGGGUGGAUUGUUACAUCGAAGGUGGUAAGUAAUAGUUUCAACGAAACUUCCUCUCCAAUAAAAUAAUCGCAUUGAUAUUGUCACAUUAAUAGGUAGGAAAAUGCUUUCGUAUGUAGGAUGAAAAGCGUGAAGCCUGAUAUAAACAAGAGAGAGUCCUUGACGAACCCAGUCUCUUCAGUUUAUUUCUGGUUUGAAUUCUCCUAUGACCAAUCAACUUGUCUCUUCUUCUUCCUUGCCUCCUUCAUGGACAUAUGAUGUGUUUUUGAGUUUUAGAGGUGAGGAUACACGCUUUACUUUUACAGAUCAUUUAUACCAGGCCCUAGACCGUAGUGGAAUCAACACCUUCAUAGAUCGCCAUCUUACAAGAGGAGAAGAAAUAUCACCAACUCUUCUCGAAGCAAUUGAAAAGUCGAGAAUUUCGAUCAUUGUAUUCUCUGAAAACUACGCAUCCUCAAGAUGGUGCUUGGAUGAGCUUGUACAUAUCCUUGAAUGUAGAAAAUCAAGGCAGCAAAUAGUUUGGCCAGUUUUUUACAAGGUGAAUCCGUCUCAUGUACGAAAUCAAACGAGUAGUUUCGGUGACAGAUUUACAGGACUUGAGCGCAAAUACAAGGACAAGGAGAAGAUCCUCUUAUGGAGUAGAGCUCUUCGAGAAGCAGCAAAUUUGUCUGGACGUACUGUCAAAGAGGGAGAGUACGUACAUUUCUUCUUUCCUUAUAGUUUGUUUAAUUAUAUGAUUCUGUAUUUCAGGUUUCACUUUCUACUACAAUAAUACCUAUUUAGUUGCAAGUUUCAUUUUUAGUUUUUAAAAUCCCUACCAAGCGGCACAUGCUUGACUGCAGCUAUUGUGUAAGAGGAGUGCUAGGAACCAAACCAUCGCUACCACUCAUUCUAUCAAUUUCCGCCUUUGUUGAAUGGUAAGUCUAUAAUUGUAUAUGAAGAAGAUAACUAUUACUUUAUGCUAAACCUACAUGACCAUCUUCUUCAUAUAUAAAUAUAGACUUGUCAUUCACCAAAGCUAGCAAACGAGGGAGUGAGUGUAAUCCUCUCUAUCUUUUUUUUUUCAAAGAAAUAUAGCAAAAAAGUGGAUUGACUAAAUAUGUCAAUAUUUUAUUUACAUGGGUAGGUACGAAGCUACAUUUAUCAAUAAGAUUGUUAAGGAGAUCUUAGUCGACGUACUACAACACACAUAUUUGAAUGUGGCCAAAUACCCAGUUGGAAUACGGUCUUGUGCAAAGGAGGUGGAGAAGAUUUUAGGUGUUGGUGCAAAUGGUCGUUGUGUGGUUGGGAUUUGGGGGACAUCUGGAAUUGGCAAGACAACAAUUGCAAAAGCUGUUUAUAAUGCAAUUGCUCUUAAGUUUCAAGGUAGUUGUUUCCUGGCAGAUGUUAGAGAAACAUCAAUACAACAUGGAGGAUUACUCCAACUACAAAAGACUCUUCUAUCUAAAAUUCUAUGCGAUACAGAGUUGAAAGUUGUUGACGUUCAUGAAGGAAUCAGCCUUAUGAAGAAACUGUUGAGGAAAAAGAAGAUUCUCUUAAUUCUUGAUGAUGUGGAUGAAUUGAAGCAGUUAAACAACUGGGUUGAAGUCGAUUGGUUUGGUGAGGGUAGCAGAGUGAUCAUAACCACAAAAGAUAGAGGAUUGCUGGAAUCUUAUGGAGUCAAGUUGAUAUACAAGGUCCAAAAGUUAGAAGACGACAAGGGUCUUGAGCUUCUAAGUUUGAAUGCCUUCGGAAGAAAAGAACCUCCAGUUGAUUAUUUGAGCCUCGCACGACAUGCAAUAGCCUAUGCUCAAGGCCUUCCAUUAGCUCUUAAUCUUAUAGGUUCUCAUUUGCGUAAUAAAAGUAUAGAUCGUUGGCAAGCUAUAUUGGAUAGUUACGAUUCUUACGAAGGAGAACCUUAUAGAGGUAUUCAAAGAAUACUUCGAAAAAGUUAUGAUGCCUGGGAUUAUGUAGUGCAACAAGUUUUCCUAGACAUUGCAUGUUUCUUCAAGGGUGAAGAUAAAGACUAUGUGUUAGAAAUAUUAAGAAGUUCGAAGCUCAACGUACCUCAAGAUUGUAUGGAAGUACUUGUUGAAAAUGCCAUUAUAACUAUUGAUAAAGAUAAUAGGAUUUUGAUGCAUGACUUGCUAGAAAAAAUGGGUAAGCAUAUAGUUUAUGAAGAAUCUCCCACUGAACCAGGAAAACGUAGUAGGUUGUGGUUUCAUGAAGAUGUGUACAAUGUUCUAACUGAAAAUCGAGUAAGUAGAAUAUAUGUUCUUACAUUUGUUUUGUCAUGAUCUGGUUUGAAGUGAAAGCUUUUUAAAUUACAUGUUUUGUUAACAAUAUGUCAUUUUUUUCAUCUUAGGGAACAAAGAAAAUUAGAGGCAUUGUGGUGAAGCUGCCUGAACCAGAUGUGAUACCCUUGAAUGCAGAAAGCUUCUUGCAGAUGGUAAAUCUUGAAAUUUUUAUAAAUCGUAAUGCACGCUUUUCUGGACACGUUGAUUAUUUGUCCAACGAUUUGAGGUGGAUUGAAUUGGACGGACGUGAUUUUCAAUAUUUGGGAUUCAAUAUUCCUCAAAAGCAUACGGUUGUGUUCAAUCUGCCGUCCAAUUAUAAUCCAAAACAUCUUGUCACGUUUGAUAUUCCAAACAGUGGCAUCAGACAAUUGAAAGGGUUUAAGGUAUGUAUAUUUAUUUUAAAGUAAUUUGGACAAUUGCUAAUUUAAAUAAUAUUUUAUUUUCGGAAAAGAGAGAAUUUUCAAAAUUUUCAUUAUAAAUGUAUUCAAAACAUGUGACUUUUUGUUUUUUUGUUUUUUUUUUUUACAGAAUUUGGCAAAGCUUACAUCAAUCAAUUUAAGUUAUUGCGAAUUCCUAGAAAAAAUCCCCGACUUCUUCGGAUGCCCAAACAUAAAGGACUUGAAUCUAAGUUUUUGUAGAAGUUUGGUUGAGGUUGAUGAUUCUGUUGGAUUCCUCGAUAAACUUGAAAAUUUGAAUCUUCGUGGGUGCUAUAAGCUUACGAGGUUUGCAACAAGACUUGAAUUGAGAUCCCUUCAAAAGUUUUCUCUUUGUGGCUGCACAAGGCUUGAGAAUUUCCCAGAAAUAGAGAAGGACAAGAUGGUAUCCCUAUCGUCUUUGGACAUAGGAGGAAGUGGCAUAAGAGAAUUGCCUUCCCCAAUUGCAUAUCUUACUGGGCUUCGAAGAUUGACAGCGCGUGGUUGUGAGAACCUUACAAAUAUAUCAGUACAUCAUAUUGUUGGGUUGCAGCAUCUCCAAGAUGUUGAUUUCGGUGAACGCCCAAAACUCGUGAUCGAAUCUCAGCUGCUUUCAACUAACUUAAAUGACAACGGUAUCAUAUUAGCCCUUCCAGAGCUAGAGUAUCUUUGUCUUGAUGGAUGCAAUUUAUCAGAAAGUGAUUUUCUUGUGCCUCUUGAUUGCUGGUCUACAUUAAGCAAUCUUGAUCUGUCAAGAAACAAUUUUGUUAGUCUUCCAGAUUGCAUUAGCAAAUUUCUCAACUUGCAUACACUUAGAUUGAGCGGGUGCAAGAGGCUUCGGGAAAUUCCACAAGUCCUUCCGCCAGAUCUAAUUUACUUAUAUCUGGAUGAUUGCACAUCAUUGGAGAAAAUUUCAAAACUACCCUGGAUGCUUGAGUGUCUUGACUUGACUAAUUGCUUUAGUCUAAGUGACGAUGAGAUGGAAAAGUUGGAAAACAAUUUGUUGAAUCAGGUUCCUCCCUCCUCUUAAUUUCUCUUGAAAUUUAGAAUUAUAUUUUGUUGAUUCUUGAGAGAGAUUAGAUCACAAUGGUUGCUAAUUAGUUAUCUACAUAUUAUUCACUAUUCCAGGAUUCCCUUCGGCGCUUUCGACUCCAAGUUUUUUAUCCAGGCAAUGAAGUUCCAAAGUGGUUCAGCUAUACUUUUAAACAUCCAAAAUUAGUAGGAGGCAGUGAAUUUAGUUUUGAAAUUCCUCUAAAUUUACAAGUGGGGGAGAAGUUAUUAGGAUUUGCUCUAUCUUUUGUUCUUGAAAAAUCGACUUAUGGUCCUAGGUUUAACUAUAUUCUCAUCAACGGAAUAGAAAAGGUUGAACCUCCUAUAACGGAUGCGAAUUUAGACGAGCAGCAGCGGUGGCGGUUGGAAGAUAUUUGUCAAGAUGCAUUCAGAAUAGAAAGUGUUGAUCGUAAUAUAAUGAGUGCGGAACCCAUAGAGGCAACUCAUGUGUGGCUUGGGUUAGUGAAUUUGGUCGAGCAGAAGCGGCAGUGGCUGGGAGAUACUUGUCAAGUUAUAUUCUAUUUCAGUGAAAGCGUAUGCAUUAAAAGCUGCGGGGUGCACCUCCUAGCCUCACAUAUCGUGGAUGAUGAAUGUGAUGAUCUGUUAAAAUGGUUUUCCUCAGAUAUCGUUGAUGAUGAAUACGAUGAGUAACAACAGCGGCUUUCCUUAUCUUCGGAGCCAGCGGAUUAUCAUUCAAAACACAGGCAGAUUGAUCUCAAUGUUCCUAUUGGUAUUGAGGAGGAGGAGGAGGAGGAGGAUGAGCAAGAGCAACCGUCCAGUUCAGAUGAUCCACAAUUUCUGAUUUAUUAGGAGUUCGGGUACGCAUUCGUUUGUUCAUUUCCAUUUUCCUAAUCUUUUAAAUAAGGCGCCGUCGGAUUACAAUUUCAGUUUACAGUUUCCAUUUAUUUGAAAACUGAAAACCGAUAACUCAUUUGGCAAUUACUCCUUGUUCUACCGUCUUGCAUUUGUCCUUCUGUUUUCUUGAUAUGUAGACGUUUUUCUUCUUCAUAACUUCUUGUCCUACUGUCAAACGUAUGCAUUUUCGCACAUAUAGUAAAUCAAUGCAGUAAAUUGUCUAAUUUGAACCUUCUGCAUAUAUAUUCUGGCUAGUUGUUGCUUUUACACUGAUCCGGGUUAUAAAAAGCACGCUCUCUCUAAGAGAAUGAAGAUGACCUCCCCAACUCGAUAUAUUAUGUCCGGAAGGAUACCCUUACCUAUUGUGUUACAUAUACAUUUAUAUCUACACAUUCUGCUUUUAAAUUCUCACAAUUUGUAUGUCUUUAUCUUUAGCGGUCAUAAACAGACCGCCUUAACUACAACAAAAACUUGGCAGCAAAUUGAUGACAUUAAUGUUACUCACUACAAAAACAAAAAUAAUGCUUUUAGUCGCAACAAGGUCGUGACUAAAAGUAUAAAAUAUUGUAACUGAAAAAUUUAGUCAUGAAAAAGUUAUGUAUCUCACUCACUAACAGGGUUGUGACCACACACCAUGUGAGUAAUUGAUUUAGUCCACAAAUAAAAAACAAAUUGGUACACUAAAAAUGUAUUAGUCACAACAUACCUUUGUUACUAGAAAAUUUAACCAAUUCCUACAUUUUAGUUACAACAUUGCAAUCAUUUGUGUCACCCCUUAUAAUGACUAAUAGACAUUUAGUCACAACCACUUUUCGCGACCAAAAAAAAAAUCUUAGUAGUAACAGUCUUCUAUAACUAAAACUCUAUUAUCAACAGCUAGCGACACGUGUGUUGUUCAAGUUAGUGGAUUUAGACGAGCAGCAGGGAGAUACAUGUCAAGUUAUAUGUCAAUUCCUGGAAGGCUCACACAUUAAAAGUUGCAGGGUGCACAGUCUAUUGCUCUACCAAGACGAACUGCUUCCUUGUCUUUAGGAUCAACGAGUAGUCUUGAGAAGGGGCCUCGUCCAAGUGGACCCCCAGAUUAUGAUUAUAAUCAGCUACAGCAAUGGCCUUCCUUGUCUUCGGAGCUAGCGGAUGAUUAUACAAAGCGAAGGCAUAUUGAUCUCAAUGUUCCUGUUGAGAUUGAGGAUAUGCAGGAGCAACCGUCCACUUCAAAAUCUCAGAGUGUUGGUGCAAUCCCAUUUUGUGUAUAGUGGAUUAAUUUUAUAAAUGUGGGGGAUAAGGCUGGAGUUGUUGAGGAAAAAACUUAGAGUACACAACUCUAACAUAAGUGUUGGAGAGACAACACAAGUAAACAAAUUACUUGUAUUACACACACAAACUCUCAAAUACACUUUAGAAGCAAUGACACUCACUCACUUUCUAGAGACAAACUCUAGACCACUCACACUCCUCACAAAGACUAUUCUUACUUCUUUUUGAUUGGUUAUUUCUUGAUUGAUUCAAAUGGUGUGGAUGCCUUCUCCUUUUAUAGGCAUGGAUGGAACCUUGAAGAAGCAUGGAAACAUCAUGCUAGAGUUAUCUAGAUAAUUCUACUAACUUCCCAAGCUAGAAUUAUCUACACUAAUCUUGCAUGUUGGUGGAAACCUCACCAUUCUUCUAGAAUCUUCCACCAACUUAAGGAACAACCUUCUUUGCUAGAGUUUUCUAGCAUAUUCCCAUUAUAGAAUCUUCUAGAGAAAACCAUGCAUGUUUGAACUAGACCAAUCUAGUUCCUUUGUACCGAUUGAUCUUAAUGGGCUGGUGUUGAUCUUUAACAGGAGCUCCAUCAUGUUUAUCUGUUUUUGAACUUGGAGCGACUGUGAUUUUGUGGUGUCUCUUUCAAUCUCAUGGGGAGACAUGUGCUUGCAUAGUUUACGUUCUGUUCUGUGAUUUGUUUUUCCGGUACAGAAUCUGUGUGCAUACCAAUUAUAUGAGCAAUCUGGGAUGUGUAAGAAUGGUCCUGCUAAGGCUUCAAGAGUUGCAGGAUCCACCUAAUCCGUAACCAAGACGAAUUGGUUUCCUUGCCUUUGGGAUCAGCCAGUAAUGUUGGAAAGAGACCUCGUUUGCCUUAAACCUCGGAUAUCGUCCAUCGUGAUCGUCAAGAGCGAUGUCUUCCCUUGUACUCGGAGCCAGCGGAUCAUCCAAACUGGAGGCAUAUUGAUAAAGAAGUGACUUCUAUACUCACAUUUUCUGAUUAAACUCUCGCCCCUCAUUUUUCUGAUCUUCAGAUUGAAUAAACCAACAACAACAACAAAGCCUUUUCCCACUAAGUGGGGUCGGCUAUAUGAAUCCUAGAACGCCAUUGCGCUCGGUUUUGUGUUAUGUCCUCCGUUAGAUCCAAGUACUCAAGUCUUUUCUUAGGGUCUCUUCCAAAGUUUUCCUAGGUCUUCCUCUACCCCUUCGGCCCUGAACCUCUGUCCCGUAGUCACAUUUUCGAACCGGAACGUCAGUAGGCCUUCUUUGCACAUGUCCAAACCACCGGAACCGAUUUUCUCUCAUAUUUCCUUCAAUUUUGGCUACUCCUACUUUACCUCGGAUAUCCUCAUUCCCAAUCUUAUCCUUUCUCGUGUGCCCAUACAUCCCACGAAGCAUCCUCAUCUCCGCUACACCCAUUUUGUGUACGUGUUGAUGCUUCACCGCCCAACAUUCUGUGCCAUACAACAUCGCUGGCCUUAUUGCCGUCCUAUAAAAUUUUCCCUUGAGCUUCAGUGGCCUACGACGAUCACACAACACGCUGGAUACACUCUUACACUUCAUCCAUCCAACUUGUAUUCUAUGGUUGAGAUAUCCAUCUAAUUCUUCGUUCUCUUGCAAGAUAGAUCCUAGGUAGCGAAAACGGUCACUUUUUGUGAUAUUCGCUAGAUUGCUCCGGUCAUUAGUGUGGAUAAGUAUAUAAAUGGAUAGAGAUAGGAAAGCAAACACAAGAUGUAUGUGGUUCAUCCAGAUUGGCUACGUCCACGGAAUAGAGGAGUUCUCAUUAAUUGUGAAGGGUUUACACAAGUACAUAGGUUCAAGCUCUCUUUUAGGGAGUACAAGUGAAUGAUUUAGUACAAAUGACAUUAGGAAAUAUUGUGGGAGAAUGAUCUCGUAACCACGAAACUUCUAAGUACCGGAGUGUGGUAUCGUCUUGACUUUCCUUAUCUGUCUCAUAGGUAGAUGUGGCAUCUUCUCUGGAAGUACUCUUCCUCCAUCCAGGGGUGGUAUCUGUAACUGGUGGAGAUGCACAAGGUAAUGUAUCAAUGUCACUUGAAGCUUACUUGUAGUUUCAGGCUUGGUCAAGCGUGAUACAAACCAUGUAGUAGGAGUCCCCCAAGUCGCCGAGCUAGGGGAUCUGCUGAAAGAGGUAACAGACAAGGUAAGCAAUCAGAGCUCCGGCUGAUUGUUCACAUUCUCCCUAUCUUGCAGGCAGCAUGAAGGAUAAAGAGAAGAAAAAUGAGAAGAGAUGAUAUGGGAUACUUUUGCUUUUGAAGAAGUAACUUUCCACAGGCUUAUUCUUGAACUGGGCUGGAGGGUUUUCUGGUUUCCUUCAGAGUAUAAGGCCGACUGAAGAAUUUGAGGGUCAAAACAAGUCCAUCAAAUCUAGAGUACGUUCGACCCUGCUGAUAUGGGAUACUUUUGCUUUUGACAGAGUAGUGGAUGUAUCGGCACGUGUGCUGUUACGCUUGUCUCCAUAUGCUUCCUUGUAUCCUUCUCACUUGCCCUAUCUGUUCCUUAGGCAGAUGCGGUAUCUUCCCUGGAAGCAUAAGAUGUUGAAGAUGAGUACUCGAGAGCAAUGCCAGGUAAGUAAUCAGGUAAGGGGUUCCAGGCAGUUAGUUCCUGGCUGGAAGCUUGAUUCCAAGUGCUGACUGAUUGCUCUCUUUCUCCUUGUCUUGCAGGUAAGAACAAGGCCAAAGGAAAAGACAGGGAAAAAGCAUGAUAUGGGAUACUCUUGCUUUUAACCCUGAUGAUAUGAGAUAUUCUUGCUCUAGUAUAGCUUGUUUACAGAGGUAUUAUCGGGGGGAAAGAAAGCUGAAUAUUUCGAAAAGCUUCGUUGGGAGUGCCCUCUCAGAUAAGAGGAAUGGUUGAGCAUUUUUGCAGGUCUGCCUGUCCGUUGGGGAUGGAGGUCGACAUAUAUAGGAGUCUCCCUAACAUCAAGUAAUAAUGCUAUUCCUUUACCCUGCUUGGUCAUAGCACGGUAGUGGGAGCUGUCAGCUUCACAAGUUUUAACUCUGUCAGAGCACUUUGAAAAAGUGGUCUGUGGUAUCUGGAAAGCUGAUGUUGCGUGUGAAGAUUACAGACAAGAUUUAUCCAAGGAGAUCCAGCUCUUGAAGUUGGGAAAGUGGUGCCUCUUCGGUUUUCGAACAAGCAAUCCUGUCGGGGAUCUGGCUCUCGAGAUUCGGAGAACGAUGCCUCUUCGAUUUUUGAGAAAGCAAUCCUGCUGGGGGUCUGGCUCUCGAGAUUCGGAGAACGGUGUCUUCGAUUUUUGAGAAAGUAAUCAUGUUGGGAGUCUGGCUCUCGAGAUUCAGAGGGCGGUGCCUCUUCGAUUUUGGAGCAAGCAAUCUUGUUGGGAGUGUUUUCUCGAAUGUGAGUAAAGGUUGGGCAUGUUUGCUAGUCUACCUUGCCACGAAGCACAGAAGUUGACACACAGGGACUUUCCAAUUAUCCAGCAGUGGUACUGUUCAUUUACCCUCUCUUCGAUUUUUUAGAAAGUAAUCAUGUUAGGAGUCUGGCUCUCGAGAUUCGGAGGGCGGUGCCUCUUCUAUUUUGGAGCAAGCAAUCUUGUUGGGGGUGUUUUCUCGAAUGUGAGUAAAGGUUGGGCAUGUUUACUAGUCUACCUUGCCACGAAGCACAGAGGUUGACACACAGGGACUUUCCAAUUAUCCAGCAGUGGUACUGUUCAUUUACCCUCUCUUCGAUUUUUGAGAAAGUAAUCAUGUUGGGAGUCUAGCUCUCGAGAUUCGGAGGGCGAUGCCUCUUCGAUUUUGGGGCAAGAAAUCUUGUUGGAUUGUUUUCUCGAAUGUGAGUAAAGGUUGGGUAUGUUUGCUAGUCUACCUUGCCACGAAGCACAGAGGUUGACACACCGAGACUUUCCAAUUAUCCAGCAGUGGUACUGUUCCUUUACCCUUGUGGGUAAUAAUAUGGUAGCUAGGCCUUCAAAAUUUAUGUGUCUAAACUUUGUUAGUGUUGUUUCUUUGCUAUUCUUUUACCCUUCUUGGUCAGAUCGAUGUAGUGAGAGCUACAAGCUUCACGUGUCUCAACUUUGUUAGAGAACUUUGGCAAAGUUAUAUGUGGUACCUAUGAGCUACUGUUGCGUGUGGGAAGUGGGUGAUUGAACAGUACGAUUCAUGUGCUUUCUACUUCGCCAGAAAUCUUCGACCUAAUGCCCAUAAUUUCCGAAAAGUUGAGUGUGCGUGUGACAGGUGUUGAGAAGGCUGGAAAAGUAGUCUCAACUUUGUCAGAGAACUUUGGCAAAGUUAUAUGUGGUACCCAUGAGCUACUGUUGCGUGUGGGAAGUGGGUGAUUGAACCGUACGAUUCAUGUGCUUUCUACUUCGCCAGAAAUCUUCGACAGAAUGUUCAAAGCUGAGUGUGCGUGUGACAGGUGCUGACAAGGCUGGAAAAGUAGGUGCCUCGAUUUCUGAGAUCGGCCCUCGUGGUCUCUGAGCAGCCCAGCUUUUGAGAAAGCAAACCUCUUCGAUUUCUGAGAUCGGCCCUCGUGGUCUCUGAGCAACCCAGCUUUUGAGAAAGCAAACCUCUUCGAUUUCUGAGAUCGGCCUUCGUGGUCUUUGAGCAGCCCAGCUUUUGAGAAAGCAAACGCCUCUUCGGUUUCUGAGAUCGACCCUCGUGGUCUCUGAGCAGCCCAGCUUUUGAGAAAGCAAACGCCUCUUCGAUUUCUGAGCAGGCGCCUCUUCGAUUUCUGAGCAGGCGCCUCUUCGAUUUCUGAAGCUUCGUCGAGUGCAGAUUUUUAUAAGGGCUGACAUUAAGUUCCAAAGCACACUUGAAUAUCCACCAGUAGAAGCUCCAUUCUUGCACUUCUAAGAUCUUGAUUUGUCCGACCUCUUCUCUCUUCAACACCUUUGAAAAUGUCUGGCCCCUCCGACCGUCGUUUUGACUUGAACCUUGUUGAAGAGGCAGCCCCGCCUUCUCCAGACAACAUAUGGCGCCCAUCCUUCGUCUCCCCUACUGGUCCUCUUACCGUUGGGGAUUCCGUGAUGAAGAAUGAUAUGACCGCUGCGGUAGUGGCCAGGAACCUUCUCACUCCCAAAGAUAACAGACUACUUUCCAAACGGUCUGAUGAGUUGGCUGUUAAGGAUUCUCUGGCUCUUAGUGUUCAGUGUGCAGGUUCUGUGUCUAAUAUGGCCCAACGCCUAUUUGCUCGAACCCGCCAAGUUGAAUCAUUGGCGGCUGAAGUGAUGAGUCUCAAACAGGAUAUUAGAGGGCUCAAACAUGAGAAUAAACAGUUGCACCGGCUCGCACAUGACUAUGCUACAAACAUGAAGAGGAAGCUUGACCUAUGCUACAAACAUGAAGAGGAAGCUUGACCAGAUGAAGGAAUCUGAUGGUCAGGUUUUACUUGAUCAUCAGAGAUUUGUGAGUUUGUUCCAAAGGCAUUUAUUGCCUUCGUCUUCUGGGGCUGUACCGCGUAAUGAAGCUCCAAAUGAUCAACCUUUGAUGCCUCUUCCUUCUAGGGUUAUGUCCAGUACUGAGGCUCCGAAUGAUCCCCCUCCGGUGCUUUAUCUUUCUGGGGCUCUACCGACUGCUGAGACUUCUCCUAAGCAACCUUUGUGAAGGCUCCAUCUUGUUUGUUUAUUUUGACUCAAGUAUAUGUACAUAUUUGUAACUUAUCGGGGAUAUCAAUAAAUAAGCUUUCCUUCAUUUCAACGUAUUGUGUUAAAUCACCAAAGUCUUCUUCGCUAAGUUCUUUGAAUUUUCUUUUGUUGAAGCUUGUAUGUUGAAGCUUUGUGAGUGGAGCAUGUAGGUUGAGGUAGUGUUCCCUUAAUUUCCCGAGCGAGGACAACUUCUCGGUUGGAGUCUUGGAAAAUCCAAGUCACUGAGUGGGAUCCGCUAUAUGAAUCUUAGAACGCCAUUGUGUUCUGUCCAGUGUCAUGUCCUCCGUUAGAUCCAAGUACUCUAAGUCUUUUCUUAGGGUCUCUCUCAAAGUUUUCCUAGGUCUUCCUCUACCCCUUCGGCCCUGAACCUCUGUCCCAUAGUCGCAUCUUCUAAUCGGAGCGUCAGUAGGCCUUCUUUGCACAUGUCCAAACCACCGUAACCGAUUUUCUCUCAUCUUUCCUUCAAUUUCGGCUACUCCUACUUUACCCCGGAUAUCCUCAUUUCUAAUCUUAUCCUUUCUCGUGUGCCCACACAUCCAACGAAGCAUCCUCAUCUCCGCUACACCCAUUUUGUGUACGUGUUGAUGCUUCACCACCCAACAUUCUGUGUCAAUGGAGAAAAAAAAAACAAAACGAGGGUGGUUGCUUUAUGAGAGGCGCACGAGCAACCACUCACUUCCAUUCGCAACGCGAUUCACUACUGUAGAAAUAUUCAUCUCUGAAUAAUUUCUUACUAGCCAUGUGUGUGGACUUCAUUAAUUAAUGUUUGAGUUCCUUUGUAUUAUUAGUUCUGCAUAAGGAAUUGAACAAUACUUAAUUAGACUCCAAAAUGCUGAAGAAAUUCGUCUUCAAAACACUUUAUGACUUAUUAUAGAAUUUCGUGCUUAUAAUUUAAAUAAUUUAUAUUAUAAAUCAAAAAUUACUAACACGUGUGAUCUAGUAAUUCAUGAUAUGAUAAGUACUUGUUAGUGUUUACAAGCAGCAUCCAAUUGUUUAAAGAAUUUUUUUUCUUGAAGAUAAGUGCGUGAUUGAUUAAAUAUUAAAUUUUGAGUGUGCGGAUAAACUUUUGUUGGUGCAUAUACAAUCACCCUAUCCUUACCAAGGUAUGUUUUCACGUAAUCCUUCUUGUUUAUUAUUAUUAUUUUUAAAUUAUCAUUAUUAAAGAGAGAGGAAAGAUUUUAAAAUUAUUACAAUAAAUUAGAAGAGAUGAGAGUUUCAAAUCCGAAACGCAUGGAUGAAAACCUAACACCUGAUUCAUUAAAAUAUUAGAUCAUAUGCAAAAAAAAAAUUAAUUAUUUAUAUAAAAGUUUACAUUGAAAAAAAAAAUCCUAUCCUGAUUUGUCAAUUGAAUGAAAGCCAAUAUUGCUCAUCCGAUUGAAUGCCUAAAAGGACUAACAAUUAGUUAUUAGUACCAAUUAAAGAGUAGGUAACAUUUUGGAGAAAUUCUUUAAGUACUUGUCACACCGUUACUAACAAACUCUUGUAAAGAAAACUAACUGUUAUAUUUUAAAUUAAAAUAUUAAUUAUAUCGCUCACAUCAUAUUAUGACAAGUAAAUUAGUACUAACCACGGUUCCAUGACAAACAAAAAUGGCAACAAUGGGAACAAUAUCCAGGUUUUAACGAAAAAUAUGGGAAUUUUAACGAAAAGUUCGCGGUACUGUUCACUUUAACGAAAAAUCACAUUUUUACACUAAAAAGUCAAACCUGGUACCAUUUUGUUUGGGCCCAAAAUAACAGUUUGGGCCGAAUGUAGGGUCAUUCUCGGCCCUGGAGGCCUUGCGGCAAGAAUAUCACGGAUCGUUCAGUAUGUGGGCCUCCAAACCCAGGUCGGCUAGGUCAUAACGCAAGAGGUCGAAUCCUAGUGCAAUAGGGACUCUCGACGAGAUCAAUAACCUAGAAAGCGAAUCCGGCUCAGUUAAGGACUAGAUUCGUAGUCCUAGCGGAGAUAGGACUGAUCGAGGGGAUGUUAAUCCGGAGAAGGAGACCUAGUCCGAAUAGGAUUGGAACUCGGGCUCGAUGUGCUGCUACUAUAAAUACAAGCCAUUCAGCAACUGUGGAAGCCCCCACAAAAUCAAUACAAAAUUGCCCUGCGCAAACUCUCACAACUUGUGAUUUUUCUUUUUCCUUUUUCGCUGACACAUCUUCCGUUGGCAUCAACAGCACUGUGGAAGCAACCGGUGAUAUCUUAAGUCGGCAUAGAUAGCUCUGUCACCGUAGAGUCAGUCGGUCUCGCAGUAUCUUCCGUUGGCAUCAACAGCACUGCGGCGAGAACGAUUGAUUACCUAUCCAAGUCUCGGUCGAGAAGGGUUUCUAAAUCCUUAUUGGUCGAGGUCAUCUCAUCAGCCUUCUCGGCGAAGUGAGGUGUUACAGUUAUUACAUUCGGCACAUUGAAAGCCGAAUUUGAUAUUGAACUUCGUAAGAAUAGUAACCUUGUCUUCAGGUUCGAGAGCCCAAGAGGCCGAGACGUGUUCCUUUCUCGGCCGCAAUCGCAAGACGCAGAAGUCAGUAGCGCGACCUAACGCAACAUCAACAAAUUUACUCCUCGGCCGAGCUCGGCCGACGAGUUGGCACGCCCCGCAUUCACCGAAGGACGUAGUUAGCUCAUUAAUUACUCGGCUUGCGCGCCACGUAGGCUUUGUAGUUUCUAGGGUCAACAUUUUGGCACGUCCAGUGGGACCCAGUGCUAAAUUACGAAGUUCAUGCCAAUUGAAACACGAUUGGUAAAAAAGAAAACAAUUAUGGGAAAGUCGACAACCGAUUUACCGAAUCAAAGCCUGGGACAAAGUGUGCCGCAGGCGCAGAAUCCCCUUAGCGCUGUGACACCUGAGUCCACGACCGCGACUCGCCGAGAGAGAGAAGUUAAUCUCAGCGGUCAACUCCGUGGUUUAGAAAUCCCUAACAGAAACACAUGCGUUCUCAAUGAAGGGAUAGUAUAGGAGUGUGACGAGGAUGGUGGUGAAGGAUCUGACCCACCAACGAGGUCGUUUCUCCGAAAGCGACUAGACGAGCAGUCUCGGUCAGUCGAGCAGACGUUCAGUUGAGGCAUUGACAAGCUGCAUGACGCGAUACUCAGUUCUAAUGAUCGACAAACCAGGCUGCUCGAAAUGCUGGUUAGUCAAGUUGGUGGCAGCAGGCCUUUCGAUCUUCGCCAACAUUGUUUACCAGGAAACAACCCGGUACCGAUUGUACCGGCCGAGCCUAUUCCUGCCCCGCUCAAACCAAUUAAUUUGGAGAAAUGAGGAGGGUCGAAUAGUAGGUCAGACGGGACCGACCAGAGGGUCGAAGCAACACCUGUUGAUAUGACCGAAGUUCAGUGGAUGAUCGACUCGGCCAUGAAGAAAGGGCCGAAGUUUCCCAAGUUUAUUCAUCCGUACCCAGCUUAUGUGGAAACGUUUGGAUACCCGAAGGGUUUCAAGAUCCCAGAUUUUAGUCUUUUUGUCGGUGAAUCGUCCCUGUCUUCGUUGGAGCACGUGGCUCGUUUCACCGCGCAAUGCGGAGAUGUUAAUAGUGAUUUCCACAAGUUACGGCUGUUCAAUUUUUCAUUGACCGGCUCGGCAUUUGCCUGGUACAUCAAUCUCCCGCCUAAUUCCAUCCAAAACUGGGAGGAGUUGGUCGAGAAGUUCCACGAGCAGUUUUAUCGGCCGGGGAUGAAGAUGUCAGUCUCUUCAUUAGCACGGAUGGCUCAAGCAUCUGAUGAGUCACCAAUGGAUUAUCUUACCAGGUUCAAAUCGGCUAGGAAUUGGUGCCGAGUGCCUUUACCCGAAGUCGAAUUUGUCAGGCUUGCUUUGAACGGCCUUGAUGUCGAAUACAAAAAGAAAUUCUUGGGGGCAAAUUUUCGGGAUAUGUACGAAUUGGCCCAACAUGUCGAGCAGAAUGAUUAUUUGCUCCGCGAGGAAAAGACUUCGAAGACUCCAACUCGGGGAACGAUUUACAAGAAUCCUACUCUCAAUUAUGCAUCAACCGAGGAUGAAUGUGUUAGUGUGGAUGCGGCUGAGAUAGUAAUAGAUAAGCCAUAUAUUUGCAAGGCAUUGACUCAGGUUGAUUCUAGAGAAGCCAAAAGUCGCUCGACCACUGAAGGAACAUCGAAACCGUCAAAGGUUUAUACUUUUGAUAUUACCAAGGCUGACGCAAUUUUUGACCAACUGUUAUCAGCAAGAAUCAUUAAGCUUCGGCCCGGUCAUAACAUUCCUAAGGCCGAAGAGCUUAAAGGAAAUGUAUUGCAAGUACCACAAUUCGAGCCAACACACGACAAACAAUUGCGUCGUAUUUCGCGAUAACGUCCAAAGCUGGAUUGAUAAUGGCAAACUGAAGUUUCCCGAGAAGAGGAUGAGUGUUGAUACUGAUCCAUUCCCCCACGGCAACAGUAAACAUGGUCGACGCGUACCUACCCAAGGACAAAGGGAAAGGCAAGGCUGAAGUGGUUGAGACACAACGCCCGCGGAAUCAGAAUGUUCGGCCACAGUUCAUGGCCGAUUUUCGUUCAAAUAAACCACCUACGGUUUUAACGGGGCCCGCUAUUGUCAAACCUAUGAUGGAUUAUAGCACCGAUGAAGAUAGUGGGACGGCGGUUUUGUGCAGGAAAUGUAGAGCGAAGGUCGACAGUGAACCAGAGGAGAAGCCUUCUUCGCGACCCGUGGCCUUAACUCGGCAAAAGAUAGCCAAUGAAGGCCAACAUCAUGGGGUUUUUGGGAGGCUCGGUCCUAAAGUACGGAUGGAAGAGACACCCCCGGUCAGGCGGCGCCUCGAUUUUGAUGCUUCAUUUUAUGACGAUGAUUACUAUAAGCGUAAUUCUAGCAGUUCAGGAUCAUCGCGGAGUCAAAAGACCUUCAAGCCUCCCGAGCCUAGAGAUCAACGUUGGUAUACAUACCAUUCUUCGAAGGGCGUUUACACCGCGUUGUCCAAAUCUCAGAAACGCCGGCAUCAACGGAUAGAUUGCAUGGCUCGCCGACAAGCAGCCCAAGAAACUUCGGCCCCUAAGUGGCGGCCGAAGGAUACAGUUGCCACUGAUGAGGAGCGACCACCUCGAGCAAUUAUGACAGAGUUGGCUCAGGGGAAACGGCUGAUCGAUCAAGAUGUCGAGACCAUGUUUGAAGAAGCUGAUAAACGGAUCAAACUUCUCAUUUGACCAGGGGAAAUGAAGGCACGUCUUGAACAUUUCAGGCAAGAGGCCGAAAGCAAAUUAUCCCCGCUAGCUAUACAAGAGCCUUUGGUCAAAAUUCGACGGAAUUUGCAUCCCCCGUUCCUUGGGGAGUCUUUAGAGUAUAUGCGAGAAUUUCAUAAGAAUCAUUCGGCCAACGAUCUGUAUGGUUUGCCGAAUGCAUGCCAGGACACCAUUGAUCUGAUACUGACUUGUCUGGAUGCCGAGCGGAUCAUCCAGAAGACCUCAGAUCCAGGAUUGAAAGCAAGGUUCCAGCACAUACGAGAAGCUCGUGUCUUUGGAUUUGAAGUCGACCCGUACAUCGAUAUCAAUGCAGCCGACCUUCCUUUCUCGCUGAAGGACCUUCAGUAUUUAAGAUAUCACUUUGAAGUAUUUUCGGCGGUUUCUCUCUUCGGCCUUACGACCGAUGAAAUCGCACGUAUUGCCCGUCUGGAUGCUUAUCUCGACACUAGGGAUGCUCGGCUACACUACCAGGAGCAGGUUCAGGUAUUGACCCCAAGUUCAUUGUCAAUCUCAACCUUACCUGAGGCGGUCACGCAGAACCAACAAGUCUUCGAAGCAGCUCCACCGAGUGACGUCAUUGAAGAAGGGACAGAAGAGUCUCGUUGUCCGACUUUGACGACAACUGAGUCCGUAGUCGCCGACCAACCGAACGAGGAGGGUCUUGGCCAAAUGGGCCCUUCAGUCCUGGAUAAUAUGGAAAUCAGUAUGGUCCAUGUGUUACCUGCCGAUUUUCAAUCAAGCACGGCUCAACCAAAUUUCCUUGAUGGAGAUGUGGUUGCCGAGGAACCCGGCCAUGUCGAUUUUGUAUCGAUUGCUGAAGGCGAGUCAACAGCAAAAGAUGAUAGUCUAAAGGCCGCUUUGGCCGAAUUGUUCCCUCGUUCAUCGUCGGCUAAGCUUCACCAUUUAAAGUCACUGUAUGUGACGGCCCACAUCGAGGGAUAUCCAGUUUCUAAAGUUUUUGUCGACUGUGGAGCUACCGUUAAUAUCAUGCCUCUGAACAUCAUGAAGGCCUUGCGCCGUUCAAAUGACGAGCUUAUUCCGUCAGGAAUCACAAUGAGUAGUUUUGUCGGUGACAAAUCCCACACCAAAGGUGUACUACCGUUGACUGUAAAUAUUGCCGGUCGCACCCAUAUGACUGCUUUUUUCGUGGUUGAUUCCAAAACCGAGUAUAAUGCAUUGCUCGGCCGAGAUUGGAUUCAUUAAACCAGUUAUAUUCCUUCAUCAUUGUACCAAGUGCUUGUUUUUUGGGACGGCAAAUCGAUCACUGUUCAUCCGGCCGAUAGCCAGCCCUUCGAAGCUAACAUGAUACAAGCACGGUAUUAUGACGAUCACGUCGGCUACAUUACUUUGCAGGGCUUCAAUGAAGAGGGACGGCCGACUCGAAUUUCCGUUCAGAAAGCUAUCGAGGUUGGUGCCGAGACUGUCCAGCAGGAUUCGGCGAGACUCGGGUUAGCUAACUUUCUCCCCGAAGCCGAUGUUUGACACCGAUCAGGAAACACGCAGGGCCGCGGUUUCAUCUACUAUGGAACGACUGCUGGCCCAUUGGUAUAGGAUAUCUAAACAACCAAAUUCGGGCAUCAACCUCGUCGAGUUCCUUGCUGAGGGAGAUAAUGGGCCUGUAUUAUCUUUUGAUAAAAUUCGAGCCGCCCCGGCCGAACUCGAAGAUCAUCGGCCCCUUGUUAAGGACCCUUUGGAAGAGAUUAAUGUUGGGACAGCCGAUGACCCAUGGCUUUUGUUUAUUAGUGCGUUACUUCCCCAACGAAUGAAAGACGAGUUUCGUACCUUGCUUAUGGAAUUCAAAGAUUGUUUUGCUUGGAGUUAUCAUGAAAUGCCCGGCUUAGAUCGUGUACUCUGGUCGAGCAUGAAUUAUGUAUUAAGCCCGGAUUUAAACCUUUCCGUCAGCCACCUCGUCGAUUCUCGACCGAAGCACAACUCCUGGGGGGCAGGCUAGGCCAAGAAAUACCGGUGCUACGACAAUUAUACCCGGCCUUGGUCAACCAGCAAAUCCUCCGGCACGACGAUGUAAUACGCACUCGAGUCAUGUCUUUACCUUCGUUGUUAGACCGACAAGAUACUGUAGAGGUCUGCACCGUCGAGGCAACACCAGAUGAUUGGAGAAAACCCAUUAUGCAGUACCUUGACAAUCCCAAUGAAAAACAUAGUCGCAAGACACGAGUUCACGCCACGAACUAUGUCACGUACCAGAACGAGUUAUAUCGAAAAGGGGAGGAUGGAUUACUACUGCUAUGCCUCGGCCUUCAAGAAGGUGCUCGGGUGAUCUCGGAAGUUCAUGAAGGGGUUUGCGGAGCUCAUCAAUCCGGACGGAAAAUGCGAUGGUUACUUCGACGGCACGGCUAUUUUUGGCCAAAGAUACUAAAGGAUUGUAUCGAGUUUGCACGAGGAUGCGUACAGUGCCAAAUCCACGGGCCAAUACAAAGGGUCCCGGCUGAAUCGUUACAUUCGGUCAUUAAACCAUGGCCAUUUAGAGGAUGGGCCAUGGACGUAAUCGGUAAAAUCACGCCGACUUCUGGAGCUGCUAAGCAUGCAUGGAUAAUAGUCGCAACUGAUUACUUUACUAAGUGGGUCGAAGCAAAAUCAUACGCCGAGUUAACAUCUAAAGAGGUUUGCGACUUCGUGGAGGAACACAUUGUGACCCGGUUCGGUGUACCGGAAACGAUCAUAACCGACAAUGGAACAAUCUUCACAGCCGAAAGGUUUAAAGAAUACACGGCAAAUUUGAAAAUUCGGUUGGAACAGUCCACACCGUAUUAUCCACAGGCGAAUGGGCAGGCCGAGGCGAGUAAUAAAGUGUUGAUCGGCAUCCUCGAAUAAAUAAUAAAAGAAAGGCCUGGCAUGUGGCAUUUGAAGUUGAACGAGGCAUUAUGGGCAUACCGAACGUCGCCCCGGUCGGCGACCGCGACAACCCCAUACGCAUUAACCUACGGACACGAUGCAAUGUUACCAGUCGAGUUGAGCAUAAAUUCGUUGCGAUUAAUUGAGCAAAGUAGUUUGUUUAGCGCCGAAUAUAAUCAGUCCAUGAGACAGGAACUAGAAGAUUUGGAAGAAGCGCGGCUUGACGCUUACAACUUGUUGGUGGCACAAAAACAGAUUGCCGAGCGGGCCUAUAAUCAAAAGGUGCGACAGAAAACAUUCGGCGAGGGUGAUUUAGUGUGGCAAACGGUGUUGCCCGUAGGAAUAAAAGAUCCUAGGUUCGGCAAGUGGUCGCCGAAUUAGGAAGGGCCGUUUAUUGUGCAUAAAGUAUACGGAAAAGGGGCGUAUCAUCUUAAAGACCGAACCGGCGCGGUCCACAGAUUACCGAUUACCGAUUAAUGGGAAGUUUUUGAAGAAAUAUUAUCCGGUCACAUGGGAAAUGCGGGAAUAGUAAACCAGUCCAUUAAAAUUGAUAAGUAUUUACAAAAUGAGUAGGUCGGUUGGUUUACAUUCAGAUACAUUUAAGGAGAAGAGGGAAGAAGAGUGCUGAGCAGAGCCUUCAACUCCAACCACCGCACGUCGGCCAUGAGGACUUCGGCUUGCCGAUUCUUUUUGUCCAGCUUCAGCCGCUCGACUCAUUUUUUGGCUGCCGCAUACUCGGUUAGGCAAUCCUUCCCGCCUGACUCGAAGUCCCUAGCAAGCUCGAAAGCAAUGGCCGACCGACGUUUUGCUAGUUCGGCCAUCUGACGGUCGAGCUCGGCUAACGCGUCUCCUUUUGCCCGUAAAUCGUCAAUCUUCGGACGGAGGGUGUCUUGAACGACCGUGGUGGCUUGCAGGUCUUGUUCGGCCUUUAGAGCGGUCUGGAAGAUACUAAAUGUCUCCCGAACGCGCUCCAAAGCAGAUGAUGCCCGAACAAUGGCAUCUCCGUUCAGGCGACCGUCGGCUCCAAGGUCGUUCAGACACACGCCGAGCAGAUCAAGACCAUUGCGCUCAAGUACUUGUGAUGAUGAGAGCGACAUGACUUCUCGCAGCUGGGUUAGGGCGCUGAGAUCGGCAGCUUCGGUCGUAGCGGCCGAAGGGCCAGACUCGGCAGUGGUACUGGAGAGGAGGGCUUUGAAUUCGACCUCCCAGGAAGCCUACACAUACAAAUCAGGUUAAGUUUAAAAGAAGUCAUGACAAGAGUAGCAAGAAGGUUUCGUUUUUUUUAACCUGCCGAGAGGAGACCUCGGCCAUGUCUCCAGGAUCGUUAGUCGAACCUAAAGAACUCAAUGGCCGAGCCCAGUGUUUCAGGUUGCUUCUCAAUUCACGCGGCCGAUGGAGGUUAUCUAUGUUUGACGGCCACUGAGGCGGCCACGAAAUAUAGAUAACGCCCUUCGGCGCGUAGAAUUCUCGGUGAAAAGAAUGUACAGGCACCUGACAUUUAUUAUUUUCCUCGUUUAGAAUUCUAAAGAAAAAAAGCAAUCAAGGAAAGAUGGUCGAAGGGACUUACGAAGGCCGAGGUAACCUCCUGUGGAGGAAUAUGGAAGCCCUGGUCUUGAGGAUGAACGGGCGAUUCCGCCGUCGCCUCGGGUUCCUCGAGCGGGCGUUUGCCACGGUCGGCUGCAGAUGGGCCGACCGGAACAGCCGUUUCGGAGGAGGCAGGGACAUCCUGAUCCUGGGGAGGAGCGAGGAGUUCGGCCACCGCCGUUGGCUCCUCGACUGGGCGCUUGCUACGAUCAGCCGUGGAGGGGCCGGCUUGAACCACCAUCUCUGACCUUGGGGAAGGUUACCGACGGGAGUGAGGGCGAUUUGCCAGCGGGACCUCGUCGCUCCCCUCACUCUCUUCCAGGAUGAAGACCGAGGGUUUUGGAUUUUCAGGGGCUGCUCCCUUGGUCGCAGAAACCACCUUUUUUGGAAUGGGUGCCUCCUCGACGGAGGGAGGCACAACUGGUGUAUCAGCCCCAGAAACAGGUCGCGGUCGAACUGUCUCUGCGACCGGGGCGGGCUGUUUUUUGACCAAGGGUUGAACAACGGCAGGAGAAGGGGAAACACUGGGAGUUGUCGCCCCUGUAGUUUGACUGGAGAUGACAUGGAUCUCCCGUGCGCCUUUCUUUGCCAGUUGUUUUACCCGCUUGGCAGGUGGCGGAGGUUCGACGGUCGGCUCGGCCUCUUGGCGAGGUCGUUUGGUUGGCACGGCCCGAACAACAGCUUCCGUUUUUCUCGAAGGCCGAUUACCUGAGAAGAUAAGAAUAAUUCAGUAAGGCAAAUCGAUAUGCAAGGUUGGAAGGAACCGGUGAUAAAUGAAAAAUUACCUUGAGUUUGGGGAGCCGAGGCCUUCUUCGGACGGUCACCGAAGAGUUUGUUUAGCACCUCUUCGACCGGAGCACCAAAGAACUCCCGGAUGUAAUUUUCCCACCACUCACCGAAGAUGUCGGUGCAAUGGGUUUCUGGGGUGGCUGGUCGAAGGCGGAAUUUUUGGCAGCGCUCUUGGAACUCCCUCACGGCAGUAUUACAUUCCGUCUCCGAGGAACAAGGCUCACGUCCACGGCUUAGGAUUGUUCGCGAGGAGAGAAGGGGGACGGGGCAGCCCUGAAGGUAGCCGAGUUGUCGGGCAAGGAAGUUCGGAUGAUAUACUUCCCAACCCAACCGUUUCCCAUCACAGCCGAGAGGGAGGUCGCGAGCAAGCACAAACGACCCCCAGGUCUGACGAAGAUCGGCGUCUUCCUCCGAGCUCCAUGUAGAGGUAGGCAGCCUGAUGGAGGAAGGAUAGUCUCGACGACGACAUAUCAGGAACUCGUCGUUCGGAAAGUAUGCUGGUAGAGCAGGAUUUAUCGACUUCUUGCUCGGUUUAGGGCAGAGUAUGUUCCAAUUCAUACAGUAUCUGAGAUGUUUUGAAUUCAUCUGCUAUGGUGAAUAUGUUGGUCAAGGCAAUUUUAAGUUUGAAAUAAUGCAUGAGCUGGCGUUUUCGUAUUCGUUUUUGUUUAGCUAUGUUAAUGUUUGAGCAUCUCUUGUGUACUUUUGGGUACUUUGGAUGUCAGGUUUUUUCUCACUUUAUUUUAAUUUGUCAAGGGUACCUAAGUCUUGGAUAUUCGACACCGUUCCUUUCGUUGGGUGCAUCUUAUAUGUAUCCAUCCUUGGCUGCUGCCAAGGCAGCUGUAAUUUCUGUGGGUGAAGAGAUAGCAACUCUCGGACUGCCGUCAGGGAUCUGUCCUCUUGUCUUCGUUUUCACCAGUUCAGGAAAUGGUACAUUGCUUGUUCUUACUAAGCUUAAAUGUCUUUAACAUCUAAUAGCAAAAUAUAUCUUAUGUAAUUUUAUUUCCUGUAGUUUCUUCUGGUGCACAAGAGAUAUUUAAGCUUCUUCCUCAUACUUUUGUGGAACCAAGCGAACUUCCGGCGCUAUUUGGGUCGGUAAGUAGUAAAACUAGUACAGUACAUGUGGUUCCAACUUGGUCUUGUAUGAUAACAAUAAUAGAAGGAAAAAUGCACUUCUAAUUUGGUUCUUGUCGACUAGAGAGACAUAAAGUUUAGGUGGAAACAGCUCUGUACAAAUAGAUGUCACCCUUCUUUGUGUUAGGUUUUCAAUUUUUUUACUGAUAGGCCAAGGAUGCUGCUCAAACUACUCGAAAGUCGAAAAGGAUCUUCCAAGUAUACGGUUGUGUUGUGACUAGUAAAAACAUGGUUGAACACGAAGAUCCAACAAGAGAAUUUGACAAAGUAAGCCCUGAUCUCAUAGUCAUCUUUUAAUUCUUCAUUCCUCACUUCUUGUUUUUCGCCAUCGUAUAACAGAAUAUACGAACUCAAAACGUCUGCAUUUUUCAGGCACUCUGGAUUAAUUUUUCAGGAACUCAAAACUCAGAAUUUGACAAAAUAACCGAUUGCACAUCAUUGGAAAACAAUUUGUUGAAUCAGGUUCCUAACUCUCUUCUUAAUUUCUCUUGAAAUUAAUUUGUUGAUACUUGAGACAUCAGAUCACAGACUGUUAGUAAUUAGUUAUCUAAACAUUAUUUAAUUUUGUAGGAAUCUCUUUGGCGCUUUGGAUUGGAAAUUAUUCUUCCAGGCACUAAAGUUCCCAAGUGGUUCAGCUAUACCUCUAAACAUCCAACAACAUUUGAACUUCCAUCAGAAAAUGAAGGUGAAGAAGCUGUUAGAGGCAGUGAAUGUUGUUUUGAAAUUCCUCUAAACUUACAAGAUGAGACUUCCGGAUUGGCUCUAUGUAUUGUUGUUGAAGCAUCGACUCCUUAUGAUCCUUAUGUUCUCAUCAACGGGGAAAAAGACUUUUAUCCUAAUUUGAAGUACAACAUUGAGGCAACUUAUGUGUGGUUCAAGUUAGUGGAUUUAGACGAGCAGCAGAGAGAUACAUGUCAAGUCAUAUUUCAAUUCCUGGAAGGCUCACACAUUAAAAGUUGGAGGGUGCACGGUCUAUUGCUCAACCAAGACGAACUGCUUCCCUUGUCAUUAGGAUCAACGAGUAGUCUUGAGAAGAAGCCUCUGUAAGUUGUGAGUGUCAAAGAACUUGUGCUCACUGUUUCUUGACAUACAGUAACUUGGUCAAUCUGAGUUAAUGGUUAAGAAAAUUAUGGAGCCUUAUUUGGUUAGGUUUAGGAGUCCUUAUUUAGUGCAAUUAAUUAUGAAAACCUUAUUUAGUUGAGAAAGAGUUCGUUACCAUUUAGGACUAUAAUGAAAUCCUAAUUGAUUUGGAAUAUCCCUUUAAUCAGUUAAUAGGCCGGAUCAAAGGGAUGAGCGUCUAUAUAUUAGGAGGUCCCUACACUCACAGCAUCAUUUUAUUCUAGUGCAAAACCCUAUUUUUGUGCACAAGGACUCUCAGCUGCUAUAGUGUAGAAGUUCCUCCUUGAAACCCUAGCAGUCAUGGCUUCUUCUUCUUCCUCCACUUCGGAAGAUAAGUUUAUUUCCCUUUUAAUUGUUUGAUUGGUUUAUUGUAAUUAUUUUGGUUUUAUAUGUGAUCCUAGUAACUUGUUGAUUUUCAGAUUACAUCUUACAACCUCGUCCAAGUGGACCCCCAGAUUAUAAGUAUGAUCAGCUACAGCAAUGGCCUUCCUUGUUUUCGGAGCUAGCGGAUGAUCAUAUAAAAUGGAGGCAUAUUGAUCUCAAUGUUCCUGUUAAGAUUGAGGAUGAGCAGGAGCAACCGUCCACUUCAAAAUCUCAGAGUGUCACUACUAGAAAUUAUAAUUUUGCCGACAAAUUAUAAGCUGACAAAGCAACAUUUUGUUGGCACAAGAGUCCUUUCUCGAUGAAAAUUUUAAUUUGUCGGUUGAAUACUCACGCUAGAACCAAUUUACAAUGUCAAUCUUAGCCGAGAAAAUUGAAACGUUAGUCAACGAUCAUUUUGUAGGCGUAAAUUCGAUGCCCUGACAAAUUUUGUUUUGACGAGUAAACUUUGACGGGAACUUUUCCUUCUGUAUUGAAAUAUUAGCCGAUGAUGUGAGGCAACAAAGUAUUUCAUCGGCAAAUUGAUUAGAGAGGCAAUAAAGUACGUCAUCGGCAAGGUAACAAUAACUCUAUGUGAGAGGUUUUCACCAGUGCACCUUUCCAAUUUUUUCUGUGGAACGCAAUCAAAGCUCUUGGCGACUAUUUAUGCUCUCAUUCUCAUUCUUGUUUCUCUAUAUGAAGGGGAGCAUAGAUAAAGAGAUAUCUAGCAUUUCAUAUUUCUGGAUUGUAGUUUAAUGCCAUCAAUAAUCUAUAUUGACAAUUUGAUUUCAUAAUAUGUGAGUGUUUGAAAAAGUUCUUCCUAUCAAUUCUAACUCCAAACUACUUUCUAGCAACAGAUAACUUGGUUUAGGUUAUGAUCAAUUAUUAGUCAAUUAGUCAAUGUAUAAAAUUACUAACAUGUGUCAUCUAGUAAUUCAUGAUAUGAUAAGUACUUGUUAGUGUUUACAAGCAGUAUCCAAUUGUUUAAAGAUUUUUUUUUUUCUUGAAGAUAAGUGCGUUAUUGAUUAAAUAUUAAACUUUGAGUGUGCGGAUAAACUUUUGUUGGUGCAUAUACAAUCACCCUAUCCUUACCAUGGUAUGUUUUCUUAUGUCAUCCUUCUUGUUUAUUAUUAUUAUUUUUAAAUUAUCAUUAUUAAAGAGAGAGGAAAGAUUUUAAAAUUAUUACAAUAAAUUAGAAGAUAUGAGAGUUUCAAAUCCGAGACGCAUGGGUGAAAACCUAACACCUGAUUCACUAAAAUAUUAGAUCAUAUGCAAAAAACAAAAAAAAAUAUAUUUAUUUAUAUAAAAGUUUACAUUGAAAAAAAAAAUCCUAUCCUGAUUUGUCAAUUGAAUGAAAACCAAUAUUGCUCAUCCGAUUGAAUGCCUAAAAGGACUAACAAUUAGUUAUUAGUACCAAUUAAAGUGUAGGUAACAUUUUGGAGAAAUUCUUAAAGUAAUUGUCACACUGUUACUAACAAACUCUUGUAAAGAAAAUUAACUGUUAUAUUUUACAUUAAAAUAUUAAUUAUAUCGCUCAUAUCAUAUUAUGACAAGUAAAUUAGUAACCAUGGUUCCAUGACAAACAAAAAUGGCAACAAUGGGAACAAUAUCCACGUUUGUAAUAUAUUAUCCGUCCAAUAAUGCAUGCGUGAUAACUCGAUAAUUUUGAUAAGAGGGAGAGAGCGAGUGGUCCGAGUGCGAAAAGCACUCAUAUUAUAUGAGUAAAUACGUGAUAACUUGUCCCGACCGGCAAAGAAGUGGAAGUCCGUUACGUCACCGUACCUGCGGAAACAGUCCCACGUGAUCAUGGACCUACUAGGGGUGGAAAUUUUUACCAAAUUGCCGUACCAACCGUCUUACCAACCAUACCAUAUCAAAUUAUUACCAAAACUUUGUACCAAUUGGUAAUGGUAUGGUAUUUGUACCGUACCAUAGUGUUUCAGUAAGGUACUGGUAUCCAAAACUAGUAUCGGUAGUAUAUCGUACCUACCAAUAUUAUUAAUAUUAUAUUAUGUAUUUAUUCAUAUAAUUAUUUGAGGGCAAAAUUAAUAAUAAUUAUUGUAGAAGUGUAAAAAAUGUAAAAAAAAAAAAUAUAUAUAUAUAUAUAUAUAUAUACAAUCACUCAUAGUGAUAAGCUUUACAACUUUCAUGCAAGGGUCAGCUUCAAAAUCCAACACCUAUAAUCCAUAAACCUUAAAUUUAUAUUUAACCGUCGAUUGUCAUGUACGCUUUAUUCUUCUUACUGAAUUUCAUUUUUUAAAUUUUCUUUUUUGAAAAUAUGAUUAUCUGACGGAUGUAAGAAGUUGAACGGUUCAGAUCUUUGAUAUCACGUUUCGAUAUUUACGGUUAACUGAAAUAUGAGUCAAUAUCAUACAGUUUGUAGAAACUUUAUAAACAUCAAGCAAUAUUUUCCCUAACUAUAAAACUAUGAACAUAAUAUCAACGGUCCAAUCUGUUCAUCUUUCUACAUCCUCUAAUAGAUCAUGUUUUCAAAUAAGAAAAUCCGAAGAAAACAAAAUUUGAUGAGAAAAAUGAAGCGUAAAUGUAAACAACAAUCAACAGUUAAAUUUUGAUCUAUGAUUUAUAUGAUUAUAAUGGCGAAUUUCAAAGUUAAGCUCUUCACGAAAGUUGUAAAGCUUGUAAUUACGAGUGUUUAUAUAUUUUUUCUAUAUUUUUUACACUUCUACAUUAAUUAAAAAAUAUUAGAUUUUGGGCAAACUAAGUGGCGUAAAACAAAGUGGCAAUUACCAUUGGCAUACCAUAUCAACCAAACUAUUUGGUAUACCAAGUUUGGUAUGAUAAUGGUAAUAGAUUUUGCUGUACCAAAUAUUUGGUAUGGUAAUUGGCACAAAGGUUUUGGUACGGUAAUGUACCAAAACCACCCCUAAGACCUACUGGAAGCUCCGAAGGACAAGGAUUGUCUGCCCUCCUUGUUCCCGUGCUCUCUCGUGCCCUCCUAUUUUGUGUGGUCAAGGUUAAGUCACGUCAACAUUUUAUAUUAUUUUUUUAUAAAGAUAAUAAGACAAAAAUAAAUAGUAAUAUAAAAUGUUGACGUGGCAUAACCGUAACCACACGGAUAGAAGAACACGGGAACAAGGAGGGCACACAACCCUUGUCCAGCUCGGAAACCCAUGUACUGUAAAGUGUUGAUCAUCAGCAUGGCUGAGUCACGACUCGGUCGCUGACUCACGUGAAUUAUCACAUGCAUGCGAUUAGAAAUAAAAGCACCAACUUCUCGAAAGAUUGUUCAGUGUGACCGAUUAUGGGAUAUGUGCUAAAAAGUUAAUAAUUUAAAAAAUAAAAUUUCUCACCAUUUUUAUUAAAACGUGAUGUACAAAUUUCCCCAACUUCUCAUAUCAAUAUCAUCCACCUAGCUGCAUGUGCUCACUUGUCACUUUCUCUCUCUUCAUUUUCUUUCUCAAACUUUCAUACCUAAUACCUACACCAACAAAACGAUCACACAAAAAUUCAACAAGUUACACGUUUUUUGUCAGGUAAAAAUGCGUUUCUGAUCGCUAUGUUUCGUCUCGAUUUUGAUUUUGAUCACUGUGUUUUUUUGUUUUCGUCGAUUUGGUCAUUGCCUUUGGCUUGUUUGAAAAUUUUCCAGUUUCCAGAGUUGAAUUGUUGAAAUAAUUUGGUGUUGGUGUAGAUUUUGGUUUUGGUUUCGAUUUCGGUUUUUUAUUAAGAUUACAAUGAUUGGAAAUGGGGUGGUGGGGAUUUUGGCCGAGUCUGUGAACAAGUGGGAGAGAAGAGCGCCUCUGACGCCGCCUCACUGCGCUCGGCUGCUCCACAGCGGAAGAGAUAAAACCGGAGUUUCUCGGAUCAUACUGCAGCUCUCGACGAAGAGAAUUCAUCAUGAUGCAAUGUAUGAAGAUGUUGGAUGUGAAAUCUCUGAGGAUUUGUCACAUUGUGGUUUGAUCCUCGGCAUCAAACAGCCAAAGGUACUAAUUUUUCGUUCGUUUUAUAUACCAUCAAGUUUGUCAAUUGAUUUGCAUACGUAAACAGAAUAGUUUAGAAUAUCGCCUUGUAAAGAGAAAGUUUGUCGAUUGAUCACAAAUUUUGAUACAAUUGUUUGGAUUUGGUGCAGCUGGAGAUUAUUCUGCCGGAUAGAGCUUAUGCGUUUUUUUCGCAUACUCAUAAGGCUCAGAAGGAAAACAUGCCACUCUUGGAUAAGGUCUUGUUUGAUUUGCUUAGUUUACGUUCCGUUCUGUGAUUUGUUUUUCCUGUACAGAAUCUAAUGUGCAUACCAAUUUUAUGAGCAAUAUGGGAUGUGUAAGAAUGGUUCUGCUAAGGCUUCAAGAGUUGCAGGAUCCACCUAAUCCGUAACCAAGACGAAUUGGUUUCCUUGCCUUUGGGAUCAGACAGUAAUGUUGGAAAGAGACCUCGUUUGCUUUAAACCUCGGAUAUCUCGUGGUCGUCAAGAGCGAUGUCUUCCCUUGUACUCGGAGCCAGCGGAUCAUCCAAACUGGAGGCAUAUUGAUAAAGAAGUGACUUCUAUACUCACAUUUUCUGCUUAAACUCUCGUCCCUCGUUUUUCUAAUCUUCGGAUUGAAUAAACCAAUGGAGAAAAAAAACAAAACGAGGGUGGCUGCUUUAUGAGAGGCGCACGAGCAACCACUCACUUCCAUCCGCAGCGCGAUUCACUACUGUAGAAAUUUUCAUCUCUGAAUAAUUUCUUUUACUAGCCAAGUGUGUGGACUUCAUUAAUGUUUUUCCUUUUUUUUAUUAAUUAGUUCUGCAUAAGGAAUUGAGCAAUACUUAAUUAGACUCCUAAAUGGUGAAGAAAUUCGUCUUCCAUAACUUAUCUUCUGGUUACAAUUAUAUAUAGAAUUUCAACGCACUCAUUUUUAUUAUAAUUAUCAUUAUAUUUAUAUUAUCAACGUUAUAAUAAAAUCUCGUUUAUAUCUUCUAGUAAUUUUCAUAUGAUAUUGAUAAUUAAUUCUUGUUAGUGUUUAACAAAACAGUUAGUUAGUAUUAUCCAAUUGUUUAAAGAUUUUUAUUCUUGAAUAAUAGUGCGUGAUUAAUUAAUGAUUUUAUUAAACUUUGUGGUGCGGAUAAACUUUUGUUGGUGCAUAUACAAUUCGUUUACCAUAUUUGUGUUAUUAUUUGGUAAUCAUUUCUCCUUAUGUUUGUCCUUCUAAUGUUUAUUAUUAUUUUUUUAUUAUUUUUUAUAUUUUUUAUUGGAUUUUGUGAAUGAUUUCUUAAAUCUAUUAACAAUUUUGAAGUAGUUAGUGGAUGGAUGUUUCAUAUUUUUCACGAGACCGAAACGCAUUUUGGAAUUUCCUAUGAUAAAUAUUUAUUCAAUACAAUUUGAUUCCCAUUAGUAAUAAUAAAGUUUUAUAAUUGUUGUAUAAAAAAUUAAAAUUCCAUUUGAUUUAAUUAUUGAAAAAUAAUUUAAUAUUGGGAAGAAAUUUUUGAAUUGGAAAUUUUUUUACAAAACGGAAUGUAGGAUUUAAAUGAAAAAAAUGAUAAAAAUGGCUUUGCCAAAAAUAUACAUUGAUUAUUUAUAUUAAAAUUUUUUGAAAAAAAUAAAUUCCUAAUCCUUCAAAAUGUUUGUUGCCACUAGAAUUGGAAUCAAAACCCUGUGUUAUUCGCAGAAGACGGAAACAGACACGGGUAUUUGACGAAACAAUAUAUUUGCCCAAAGACAUGGUUAUUUGUCUUCGUUAAAAUUGUUUCCAAGGUGGGUGGACGUCAAAUAAAACCCAAAAUCUGUUCGUACUAGGAACACAGCCCGUUCCCACCCAUUUUGGCGCACCCACCAACGCGGGACAGAACCGCCUCGUCCGUUCCGUUGUUCCGUCCCGUCCGUCCUAUACCAAACGCACCAAAAGGACUAACAUAUAUUAAUUAUUGUUACACAUUAAAGAGAGUAGUAAACAUUUUGGAGGAAAUUCUUAAAGUAAUUGCCGUUACUAAAAAACUCUUGUAAGAAAACUAACUGUUUAUUUUUAAAUUAAAAUACAUAUCAUUAUAUUGCUGCACAUCAUAGUUAUGUUUAUUUAAAUUCAUUCCAGUAAACCAUAUUCCAUGACAAUAUACAAAAUGGACAACAAUGGGAACAAUAUCCAACAUUUAUAAUAGGGUUUAUUCACAACACUCUAAUAUUUUACUUCUCACACAUUUUGAUAUUGAUAAUUUGAUCCAUUGAUAUUUCACAUUCAAUUUCUGAUGAUAAUCGAGGUCAAAUCAAAUUAAAAAAAAUAUGUAAAUGAAUAAAAUAAAAUGUAUGAAUAUUACACCCCUUAUAAUUUUCUUAUCCAUUAUCUAAUUAUCCGAGCAACCCAUACCAUGCAUAAUUCAUGGACUUGAUCGACGAUUCCUUGACGAGAGAGAGAGAGAGAGAGUGGUCCGAGUGCGAAAAGCACUUAAAUAUGUGAUAACUUGUCCCAACCGGCAAGAGGAAAAGUCCGUUACGUCAAAUCCACCAUGCUUGGGGAAAUCCCCCACGUGAUUGGUGAUCUGGACAUGGAAGAUGGACCUGAGCUUGAAGCUCAAAACCCAUUGCCACGACUCGGAUAAAAACAGAAGAUUCUAGUUUGUCCACGUUUUCUUGUCUAUACUACAUAUAGGUUUGCGCUUGUCGUUUUUCAACUCUCCUAUAAGCCUUGGAUUGGCUUUCUCAAGAUAGGUUUGAAGUCGAUUAGUCUAGUUAAGCUAAUCCACUUCUUGAAUCACAUAAAGAGGUUUCUAGCGGUCAAAGAAAUGAGAAUUCGUAGUUUGGUUUGAAGGCGACUUGGCCGUUCAGUAUUGAUCCCUAAAAGGCCAACUUAAAGCGCAUAAACUUAUUUUUUUUCACGAUUCGGGUAUUAUCAUCAGUCAAUUGAUGUGUUUUUCGUAAGCUUUCUUCUAAGCCCAGUAACAAAACUUCUUUUCGAACUAGAAAUAUAUAAAAUAGGUGUCACAGCUGAUUAUGGGUAUGGCUGAGUCACGACUCGGUUCCUGACUCACUCACGUGAAUUAUCACAUGCAUGUGAUAGACAUAAGAGAAUUUUAACAAAAAAAAUCUGUUCAUGAUUUUUACUUUUUAUUUUUACGAAUUAAAAAUAUUUUUUACUAACUAAAAAUUAAUUCAGUUUAUUUUUUUAAUUUUAAUCUUAAAAGUUUUCAAACUUUUUUUUCAUAAGUUUUCUUAUAAAUAAAAGCACCAGCAUCCCAAACUUUCCUACCGAAUUACCUACACCAACAAAAGAUCACACAAAAUUCAAAAAUUUCAAUUCAACACAAACAUUUUCGUCUGGUAAAAAUGCGUUUCUAAUCGCUGUGUUUCGUCUCGAUUUCGAUUUUGAUCACUGUGUUUUUUUUGUUUUCGUCGAUUUGGUCAUUGCCUUUGGUUUGUUUGAAAUUUUUCCAGUUUCCAGAGAUGAAUUGUUGAAAUAAUUUGGUGUUGGUGUAGAUUCUGGUUUUGGUUUCGGUUUCGGUUUUUUAUUAAGAUUACAAUGAUUGGAAAUGGGGUGGUGGGGAUUUUGGCUGAGUCUGUGAACAAGUGGGAGAGAAGAGCGCCUCUGACGCCGUCUCACUGCGCUCGGCUGCUCCACAGCGGGAAAGAUAAAACCGGAGUUUCUCGGAUCAUACUGCAGCCCUCGACGAAGAGAAUUCAUCAUGAUGCAAUGUAUGAAGAUGUUGGAUGUGAAAUCUCUGAGGAUUUGUCACAUUGUGGUUUGAUCCUCGGCAUUAAACAGCCAAAGGUACUCAUUUUUCCGUUCGUUUUAUAUACCAUCAAGUUUGUCAAUCGAUAUGCCGACGUAAACAGAAUAGUUUAGAAUAUCGCCUUGUAAAGAGAAAGUUUGUCGAUUGAUCACAAAUUUUGAUACAAUUGUUUGGAUUUGGUGCAGCUGGAGAUGAUUCUGCCGGAUAGAGCUUAUGCGUUUUUUUCGCAUACUCAUAAGGCUCAGAAGGAAAACAUGCCACUCUUGGAUAAGGUCUUGCUUGAUUUUCGUAUGUUUUGAGCGGUUUUAAAUACUUGCUUUCUUCGUUAGCAAUUUAUAACUCUCUGUGUGGUGUCCAGAUCCUAGCAGAAAGAGUGUCUCUCUAUGAUUACGAGCUUAUUGUCGGGGAUCAUGCGAGAAGACUACUUGCAUUCGGAAAGUAUGCUGGUAGAGCAGGAUUUAUCGACUUCUUGCUCGGCUUAGGACAGAGUAUGUUCCAAUUCAUACAGUAUCUGAGAUGUUUUGAAUUCAUCUGCUAUGGUGAAUCUGUGUUGUUCAAGGCAAUUUUAGGCUUGAAAUAAUGCAUGAGCUGGCGUUUUCGUAUUCGUUUUUGUUUAGCUAUGUUAAUGUUUGAGCAUCUCUUGUGUACUUUUGGGUACUUUGGAUGUCAGGUUUUUUCUCACCUUGUUUUAAUUUGUCUUAGGGUACCUAAGUCUUGGAUAUUCGACACCGUUUCUUUCGUUGGGUGCAUCUUAUAUGUAUCCAUCCUUGGCUGCCGCUAAGGCAGCUGUAAUUUCUGUGGGCGAAGAGAUAGCAACUCGCGGACUGCCAUCAGGAAUCUGUCCUCUUGUCUUCAUUUUCACCGGUUCAGGAAAUGGUACAAUAUUGCUUGUUCUUACGAAGCUUAAAUUUCUACAACAUCUAAUAGCAAAAUAUAUCUCAUGCAAUUUUAUUUCCUGUAGUUUCUUCUGGUGCACAAGAGAUAUUUAAGCUUCUUCCUCAUACUUUUGUGGAACCAAGCGAACUUCCGGCACUAUUUGUGGCGGUAAGUAGUAAAACUAGUACGGUAUAUGUUGUUCCAACUUGAUCUUGUAAGAUAACAAUAAUAGAAGGGAAAAUGCACUUCUAAUUAGGUUCUUAUCGACUCGAGAGACAUAAAGUUUAGGUGGAAACAGCUCUGUACAAAUAGAUGUCACUCUUCUUUGUGUUAGGUUUUCAUUUUUUUUUUUACUGAUUAGGCCAAGGAUGCUGCUCAAACUACUCGAAAAUCGAAAAGGAUCUUCCAAGUAUACGGUUGUGUUGUGACUAGUAAAAACAUGGUUGAACACGAAGAUCCAACAAGAGAAUUUGACAAAGUAAGCCCUGAUCUCAUAGUCAUCUUUUAAUUCUUCAUUCCUCACGUCUUGUUUCUCGCUAUCGUAUAACAGAAUAUACUAACUCAAAACGUCUGCAAUUUUCAGGCCGACUAUUAUGCACAUCCAGAACACUACAACCCUGUUUUCCACGAAAAAAUAGCCCCGUAUGCAUCUGUAAUCGGUAUGCUUUACACUCUUCUAUCAAUUUUUUAGACAAAUCAGUAGAGUUAAUGUCAUUAAAUGAAUGCCUUGGAUUUUAACUUAAGGAUUUUCGAAACCUUUGGUUCUCAAUUAUCGUUAUCCAUUUCAUUCUCUCAUCCCAUUAGAUUUUAAAAAGACAAAAUUUACUCUUUAUGUUCUUUUCGCCUUGCAGUGAAUUGCAUGUAUUGGGAGAAACGAUUUCCUCGCUUAUUGAGUACCAAGCAGGUUCAAGAUCUAACAAAGAAAGCAAGUGUGCUUGUUGGAAUCGCUGAUAUAACUUGUGACAUAGGGGGGUCAAUAGAAUUUGUCAACCAAACCACAUCAAUUGACUCACCUUUCUUCAGGUACAAGUCAUAAACACCACCUCAAAAAGCAUUUUCUUGCUCACAAAAUAGCAUUUGCAGCUUUGAAAAUAACAGUUCUUUCGGUAACAUGGUUUGCAGAUACGAUCCUGUGACUAAUUCUUACCAUCGUGACAUGGACGGCGCUGGUGUGAUAUGUCAAGCUGUGGACAUUCUUCCGACAGAAUUUGCAAAAGAGGUGCACUACUUUCAUCCCUGCCUUCUUUUUCAAUAAAUGCAGUAAUUCUAGAAUAGUCUAAUGCCAGAGAUUAUACUUCUCGUGGUUUGAUAAAACAUUUCUUUAAUUUUGGGAAGGCUUCGAAACAUUUUGGAGACAUAUUGUCCAAUUUUGUUGGUAAUUUGGCUUCUACAAAAGACAUUACAAAGUUGCCUGCACAUUUAAGGAGAGCUUGCAUUACCCAUGGAGGAGCACUUACCUCAUUUUAUGAAUAUAUUCCGCGUAUGAGAAAGUCAGACUCAGAGUAAGUUUCGCUUUCAUUUCACAUAUAUACUUGCCCUUGUUCUUUGGUGUUAAGCAUAUAUUCUCUUUUUGAUUUGCAGAGAAAUAUCAAAGAAUCAUGUUAAUCACAACUACAAGAACUACAACAUAUCAGUAAGUUUCUCUAUUUCUAUUAACAAUUUCGGAUAUUUCUCCGCUUAUCAUGCCAUAUAUGCUGAGUUUCAUUCUAAAUCACAGGUAUCUCUCAGUGGUCACCUAUUUGAUCAGUUUCUGAUAAAUGAGGCCUUAGAUAUCAUUGAAGCUGCAGGCGGCUCCUUUCAUUUGGUUAAGUGUGACGUGGGUCAAUGUUCGAAUUCUCUAUCAUUCUCCGAACUUGAAGUAAGUAGACCUCUAGCCAGUUUGGUCAUCGGAGAGGUUCACUUUGGUAUCUUCGAGUACAAGUUAUCUUUACGUCAAAUUUCAUAGCAUGAACUCGUUGUUAUGGACAGGUGGGUGCAGAUGACACGGCCGUUCUUGAUCAAAUUAUCGACUCUUUAACUUCUCUAGCGAAUUCAAACGAAAAUCAUGACUUAAAGCAAGAGAAAAAUAAGAUUUCUCUGAGUUUUGGUGAAGUCCAGCACAGUCCCACUAAAAAGGGAAAUGACACGAAAAGAAAGGCUGGGGUUCUGAUUAUUGGAGCAGGCCGGGUCUGCCAGCCAGCUGCUGAGAUGUUAGCAUCAGUUAGCGGAAUGUCAUCCCACGAAUGGUACAAAACAUGCUUUGAAGAUGAAUUCGAAGAGAUUAAUGAUGUGCAAGUUACUGUUGCAUCUCUCUACCUAAAGGAUGCUGAAGAGGUAUGGCUGCAGAAAAUCACAUAUUUCAAAAACCUGCUUUCAAUUCUAUCAUGAUGUAUAUUUUUUCAUUCAAGAAUGAUGCGCAAACUUUUAUGUGUUCAUCUCAUUUUUUUCGCGUUUGAACAUUUUGAUGCUGAAAUUUUGGAGCAGAUCACUGAAGGUAUUCCAAAUGCAACAGCAGUUCAACUUGAUAUUUCGGACACUGGCAGUCUGCAUAGGUAUAUAUCGGAGGUAAUGACUUUUCUACAGUACGGUUUAAAGAGCAGUUUUUGAAUUUCAGAGAAAUCGCAUGCCUAGCAGCUAUAUUACAUAUGAUCAAAAUGAUUUGUUUAACUUAGAUGUGUACUAUUUUCGGUGUUCAAAACUUGCAAAGCUUCCAUCGCACUCUUAUAUUUUUGGUGUUCUUUGUUUCCCUCAUGCAGGCUGAACUUGUUAUAAGUUUACUGCCGGCUUUUUGCCACGUUACUGUAGCAAAUGCAUGUAUUGAGGUACUUCACGUUGCCUCACUGUUAUAUUUUCUUUGUUUUUCGUUCUUUACUUUUUCUGCCUUCCUUCAGCUAAGGAAAAAGGUUUUGUGUCUUCAUUCAGCUUAAAAAGCAUCUUGUCACUGCUAGCUAUGUUGAUGAAUCCAUGUCAAAACUGGAUGAGAAGGCAAAGAGUGCUGGUAUUACGAUUCUUGGUGAGAUGGGCUUGGACCCUGGGAUAGGUAAUGACUUAUGUCUGGAAGUGCUUUUAGAAUAACCAGAAACGCCUUCAAAUGAUCAAAAAGAACAAUUGAAACUAGUCCUUGUGAUGGCAAAAACUUUGGCAUAUUAGUAAUGCAACUACUAUUUUGAUUUCGUCCGACUUCAGAUCAUAUGAUGGCGAUGAAGAUGAUCAACCAAGCCCACGUUCGGAAGGGGAAAAUAAGGUCUUUCACUUCUUACUGUGGUGGACUGCCAUCCCCAGCUGCAGCAAACAAUCCGUUAGCAUAUAAAUUCAGGUAACUCGGAUUGGAUACCCUCCUUAAUUAUAUCUACUGUUUAUAGUUUUACUUCUAACUUCUAUUAACCUAUCAUUUCAGCUGGAGUCCUGCAGGAGCUAUUCGAGCUGGACGUAAUCCUGCAACGUACAAAUCUAACGGCAAAAUUGUAGAAGUUGAUGGUAUGUUGUCAGUGAUGAGCUAUUUUGAUUAUCAUAAUGAAUACGAGUCAUUCUGCACUUUUUCACUUUUAUCUUUAUGGUACAAAAUUUCAGGGAAGGAUCUUUAUGAUUCAGCUGCGAAAUAUCGGGUUCCAGACCUUCCAGCCUUCUCGUUAGAAUGCCUUCCAAAUCGCAACUCCCUAGUUUAUGGGGACUUGUAUGGAAUAGGACAUGAAGCAUCAACAGUCUUUCGUGGAACUCUUCGAUAUGAAGGUAUGACAUUGCUUGGCUUCUAGGUUAAAUUAAUGCUUAGAUUCUUACUUGAAUUCUAUUUUGCGUAGGGUUCGGAGAACUAAUGGCAACGCUUUCAAGAAUUGGUUUAUUCGAAUCUGAACCUCAUCCGCUUCUUAAGGAUGCAAAUAGACCCACGUUCAGGAAAUUUUUGUCUGAACUCCUCAAAAUGAAAACUGAAGAUCUGGACAGACCUCUGAUCGGAGAGAAAAUCAUCCCCGAAAGGAUUGUCACGCUCGGAUACUGCAAAGAGCAAGGAGCUGCUGUGAGGGCAGCUAAGACUAUCGUGUAUGCACAUUGCACCUCUUACCCGUUUUCUUUCCAUUCUUCUUGUGUGCUUGUAUUUUCUAGACAGAGUAAUACUGAAAUGUAUCGGUUUGUUCUCC
rnacentral:lncRNA from 1 species